UUAUACAACAGCAAAUAAUAUCAAUUUAAUUAAGAAAAUUGACUUAAAGUCGUCACCCUGCAUAACAGAAGGUGCAUUGCAAUUUCAACAAUUUUGACAUAUAUAUAUUAUGACAGACAAAGACUAGACCCCAGCUAUCAAUUUCAAGGGCAGAAAUAAUUCCAACAGCAGAUUAAUCAUGCAGCAGUACUCAUGCCUCCGGGACUUGUAAAAAAAUGCUCAUAAUGCUUGCUAGCCAAGAGCUUGAGCUAGCUGAUGAACCUUUUAUCAAAUCAAUUAACCAUGCAGCGAUUUUGCAGUUCUGGACUUGCUAGACACUUUUCAGAGGUGCUAAUUACAUUACGGCGGUGGGGGCCCCGUGUCAAAAAGAAUCUAGGAACCACCACAACACUGCUACUCUUUCUUCCACUCCUCAUAGCUACUGCUUUCAUUUCUUCCUUAUGGAAUUCUGAUACUGUAAGCAAUACCAACUUACAGCACUUGUUUUAAUUUUUCCUGCACAGAUAUAUUUCAAUUGAUUAUGAUCGAGUUAUUUGCCUUUUCGAUUAUUUUGCAGUCUAAUUUUUCUGUUCACAAUAUCUCAAGAAAUAAAACGGUGAUUAUAGUAUCCCGAAAGCCACAAAACCGGCCACCAAAAAGAAUCACAACCCCACUCAAUUGUGUCAAAAACCAAACCCAAACUUGCCCAACAAAUUACCCCAAAACAUCUCAAACACAAGAAUCAAUUUCAGAUUACUCAAUACCACCCACAUCCACAUGCCCAGAUUACUUUCGGUGGAUCCACGAAGAUCUAAGCCCCUGGAAAGUCACAGGAAUCACAAGGGACAUGUUAGAAAGAGCCAAUCAAACGGCUCAUUUUCGUCUAAUACUCGUCAACAACAAAGUAUAUAUCCACAAGUACAAACAAUCAAUACAAACUAGAGACGUUUUCACCAUAUGGGGCAUCUUGCAACUCCUUAGAAAGUAUCCCGGAAGAUUACCGGACUUGGAGCUUAUGUUUGACUGCGAUGACCGCCCCGUCAUCCGAUCACGCGACUACAGCGGGCCAAACAACAAGGGCCCACCUCCGUUGUUUCGGUACAGUGGUGACAGGUGGACGAUGGAUAUAGUGUUUCCUGAUUGGUCCUUCUGGGGAUGGUAAUGACUUCUUCUUCUUCUUCUUCAUCUUUUUGUUGCUCUCUCUUUUGAUUGCUGGUUGCGUGUUGCGUGUGUUUUUGUUUUCGCAUGGAAAUUGUAGAAUGCAUGCAUGUGAGGGACUUAAAUCGACUUGGACUCUAGCUACCAUCGUAGGCCACGUAGGGUAGAAGCAUACUGUAAUUCAUUUUGUUUUCUGAUAAUCAAGGGGUCCUACGCUAAUGACAUGCGACCAAACACAGAUUAUUUAACCUGAAUAGCUAAUGCCCCGAGACGGCAAGACAUAGUUUUUUUUUUUUUUUUUUUUAACUUUAUCGUAAUAAUAAAUAAAUAUAAAUUUUUAAUAUAACAUAAUAUAAUAUAAUAUAAUAUUGAUUUCUAUUUUGUUUUAUUUUUAAUUAUAAUUGUUAAUAUAAAUUAAUGAACUAAUAAUUUAUUAUUCAAAAAUAUUAUAUUAUAUUUCUUAUUCUAUUAAAAAUAUAACAAAAUAAUGUAUUAUUUAUAUAUUAUAACAAUUAAUAUAUAAAAUUUGAUUAUUAUUUAAUAAGUUCAAUAUUACUAAUAAUAAAUACUUAAAUAAUAUAUAAAAAUGACAUAAUAUUACAUUAUUUAAAUAUAUUACAACAAUUGAUAUAUAAGAAUUGAUUAUUAUUUAACAAUUUAAUAUAACUAAUAAUAAAUACUUAAAUAUUAAUAAAUUUGAAUACUAUUAAUUUAAAAUUAAUAGUAAUAUAAAUAAUGAAAUAAAAUAUUCGUACAUAUAGUACAAUUCGUAAUAUAAUAUAAUAUAGUGUGCCAAAUGCACCCAAGUUAUAAAUUAUAUUAUAUUUUUUACCUUAUUUUUUUCCUUACUUUUACAAUAUAUAAUAUCUUUACAAUAAUUUUGGAGAUAUUAAUGAAAUGAAUAAAAGAAAACUAACCAAUCUUUUAUUUUAUUUUAUAACGAAACAAGUAUAUGAUUAAAAGAUUUGAUUGUGGGUAGGGAUGGCAAUGGGGAGGGGAGGGACCAAUCUCCCCGUACCAAUCCCCGAUAUUUUGCUUAUAUCCCCGUCCCCGUUAGAAUUACUUGAGAGAAUCCUCAUCCCCUCCCCGAAUAAUAACAGGGGAUCCCCAAGGGUCCCCGAUCCCCGAAUAACUAAUACAUUUUUUAUUUUCGAUUUUGAGUUAAUCAUAUUAAAAUAAAAAAUUCAAAUAAAAGUAAAGUUUGAAAUAUAUCUUACAUUAAUAUCCAUUACAAAAGUCACAUACAUUAAAUUAGUAAGUAACGCAUCAUGUAAGAGAUACAAGCUUCUUUUACAAACUAUCGUGAAUAAAUUAAUAGUCUAAUACAAAAUUGUUACAAAUAAAAUCGAAUUUAGAUUCAAAAUUAACUUUUUCAAUGGUGGCGUGGACACUUUAUAAAUGUGGACUAUUCCCUUUAUAGCACAAUAGUUAAGUCGGAGCAAAUCAAGAGCAAAUAUUAGAUUAGAUUAAAUUAAAUUAAAUUAGAUAUUAAAAUUGUGAUUCGCUGUGGUCAAUUACAACAUCUAAAAAUAAAUAAAAAAUAUAUUUAAGUUUAAAACAUUUAAUGAAUAUUAAAAUUAAAACAAAAUUUUUGGGCUAAUAGAAUUUACCCGGUUUUUUUAAUGUCCUAAAUAAAAAUUUAGGACUUUAAUUAGUUAAUUAAGUCUAAAAGUUUAAUAAUAUAAAUAUUUUGAUAUUUUUUAUUUUUAACAAUAUUUAUAAUUUUAUAAUUCAAAUGUUAUUAUUUAUUUACUAGUAAUUUUAAAAAAUAAAAUUAAAAUUAAAAUAGGGAAAUGGGUAGGGGAUGGGGAUUCCACAUCAUUCCCGUCCCCUCCCCGAAUAAUAAAUUGGGUAAAAAUAUUUCUCCGUCCCUUCCUCGAAUAAGAAAUUGGGUAUGAAAUUAUCCCCAUAUCCUCCACGAAUGAGAAAAAUCCCCGAGGGUAUCCGUCCCCGUAGAGAUUUUUGCCAUCCCUAAUUGUGGGUUCUUCUCCACUGAUGUCUGAAAUUGUGCAAGUACGUACAUAUGAUUGUCAGUCGGCUAGUUUUACAUUAAUUUUCAUCUAGCAAUGUUAUUACUUUGGGUCAUUGGGUGUCAGAUUUGAAAUUUAUGUUAGAAUGCGCCUGUGGAUCGAAUUAAACAAGUGUGUGACUAGCAAGUUCAUAAUAUAUAUAUAAAGAUGGAUGGAAAGGGUGUGACUGGCAACUUAUUCAUUUUGGCAGGGCUGAGAUAAAUAUAAAACCAUGGGAGAGUUUGUUGAGGGAGCUAAAAGAAGGCAACAAUGGGAGGAAUUGGGUGGACAGGGAACCCUAUGCCUACUGGAAAGGGAACCCUUUUGUAGCUGAAACAAGAAGAGACCUACUCACUUGUAAUCUAUCAGAUAAACACGACUGGAAUGCUCGACUCUAUGCCCAAGUAAUUUUAUUUUUAUAUUACUACUCAUUUUUGUUCUAAGAUUCCUGGUUUUAAUUUCUUUUUAAUCUUUUUCAAAAUGCUGGGCAUGGACAGAAUUUAAAUUAAUUUUUAGCCCCUUAAUUACAGUCCCUAAUAUUUAAACUUGACUUGCUAGCCAAAUAAAGCUGCUUAAAACCAAUUAAUUCGAUCAAACCUUUGAUUAUAUUUAUUUAUUGCGCAUAUAUAUGUUUAUUAAUUAACUUUUGCAGGAUUGGAUCCUUGAAUCUAAGCAAGGUUUUCAACAAUCAAAUCUGGCGAGCCAAUGCGCCCACAGGUAUAUCUAGUCGCCGACUAACUGAUGGGUACGUUCAUCAAGUCAACUUUCAACAUUGACUUUUCUUGUUCACUACUUAUUCAUUAGGUACAAAAUCUACAUCGAAGGAUAUGCAUGGUCAGUUAGUGAGAAGUACAUUCUAGCAUGUGACUCUACGACACUCAUUGUAAAGCCCUAUUUCCACGAUUUCUUCAUAAGAUAUUUACAACCUCUGCGACACUACUGGCCGAUAAGAGAUCAAGAUAAGUGCAAAUCUAUUAAGUUUGCUGUAGACUGGGGUAACACCCACAAGCAAAAGGUAAUUAGCUUCGUUGAUUAUAUUAUACUGAUGUAAUAUUUUGUUAAGUAAUGUGAUACGCAUGUAAAUGGACUUUAUUAGCAGGCACAGGAAAUUGGGAGAGCGGCGAGCAACUUCAUUCAAGAAGAACUGAAAAUGGAAUACGUGUAUGAUUACAUGUUUCAUUUGUUAAACGAGUAUGCUAAGCUUUUGAAAUUCAAGCCAGUGGCACCUGAUGGAGCUGUGGAGGUAUGCUCAGAGACUAUGGCUUGUACCGCAAAUGGGUCGCAUAAAAAGUUCAUGAUGGAGUCAUUAGUCAAAGGUCCUUCUAUUACAAGCCCAUGCACAUUGCCUCCUCCGUAUGAACCCAAAGUUCUUGGUGCUUUCUAUCGGAGAAAACUUAAUGCAAUUCUACAAGUGCAGAAAUGGGAGGAUAGAUACUGGGAAAGUUUGAAGAAGCAAUAGUGCGAAUAAUAUAUGCAUAUUAAUUACUUAGGUUAGGCUUUUAUUUAUUCAAUCAUUUGAUAAAGGGUCAAAUCCUACGACUCAGCAAGCCCAAUUUAAUUAAUUAAGAAGGCAUACAGCACUUAUGUUUUGCACCAAACUGUACUUAUCAUUAAAUCAAUUGCUAUGAGCCACGCAUGCAGCAUUUUGGACCACCGGAAAGAUGUGAAUGACUCAUCAUCAUCUCUUUGCCCACAAGUGCAUUAAUAACGAGCUUUAUCACUGACGAAUCACAGUAUUUGUCUGAAUUGGUCAUGUGGAUGAAAGGAAUUGGUUUCUUUUGGGCGACAGAACAAAUGAAUGAAAAUGAUGAUGAUCAAUCCAGUCUCCACCGUUGCUAAUAUUAAUAUGAUUAUGAUUUCAGUGCUGCACACAGGAGCACCUUGCGAAUACUGCUUAGUACUGUUACAUGCAUUCUUAUAAUUACGUGUAUCCAUAUAAAUAAGUAUUGAGAAAAAGCUCACAAUAUGAUGAUAUUUUGCACGCAGCUGUUUUAUUUUUAUUUGUAGACCAUCUGGUCUUCUAGUUAUUAGGUUUCCUUUUCAAGUGGGGAGAAAACUUACCAAUAGAUCUUUGGUCCAGUGGGAGAGUUCUUACACUUACAAUAUUGAAUGUAAGAGUUCAAGUUUCUAUAAAAGUAUUUAUGGGGGUUAUUUACAAUUUUUUCUUAAUUAUUUAAUAAUUGAGUGGAGCCAGUCUAUGUCUCACGAAAUAUGAGUGGAGUGGACAGUCCUCGAAUAUUUGAGAUAGUUUGAAGAAUUUGGGCAGAGUUUCAGAGGGGUACAUGCCAUAAAAAAUAUCCCAAUUGUAAAAUCUGUUUAUAAAUAUUAAUUAUAAUACCUACAAUCCUAUAUAACAGUAUUAAAAAAAAAAAAAGUGGGGAGGAAACUUUGUCCGUGGCCAUAGAUUUAUUGCAAUCGUACGAAUAAGUUUAUAUUUGUGUUUCCGUCCUUAAAGAUUGAGACUGAUGAUAACACACUAGGCCAUACCCCUUAAUUAACCUCACAUUAAUGCACACAGCAAAUAACCUAUACAAGCCGUUUGGACGACUUGUCAGGACGACCCAUUUUGGGAUAUACAAUUGGAAAUUAAUUACUUGAACUAGCUAUGGUGAAACUUAUAUAUAAAUGCCUAAUUAAAGCCUGAACCAUGAAUGGUUUUGAGAUAAGAAAUCUUUGUCAAGAUACUUGGGCGAUUAAUUAUGUGUUCAUCUUAAAUGUUGAACCAGCCUAACAUGCAAGAGACUCAACAGUCCACAUAGAAUGUUAGGUUGGCUUGGCUUCAACUCUUUGCUAGUUGUUGUGAAAAACCCAAAAAAAGCAAAAAAAGGGGAAAAAAAAAUACAAAUAAACUUUUUGUUAGUUGAGACGUUGAACGUUAAGUUCCUUUGCUAAUACUCGCAAUUAUUGACGGUCGGUGGUGUAAUCCACAAAUUAUGUUGAUAAAUAUAUGGAUUUGCAAAUACCUUGAUUAUAUGUAAUGCUUUUAAAAAUUAAUUAAUCGUAGCUUAAAUAUAUGACAUCAACGGAGACGUAAGCAAUACGGGGACCUAAAUUGUCAUGUUAGUUUCUGCCUCUAAUAGGAAGCUUUGGCAUUAAAGAAUCAAUUACAUCAACGUUAAGUUAAUUUAUCAAAUUAUAUUUGAUGAUUCUGGAUUCAUGUUGAUCGAACCUGCAACGUCAAAGCCACUUUAAUUAGUAAAGCCGGUUCCAAUAAAAUCAUUCAAAAUUUUGGAGGCAUUUACUUUUGAGAUGCUUCACCAAACCAUGAGAUUUUUCUUGCUCUUGAAUCCUCUUUGAUGACGAAUGUGACAGCUUAUCCACUCCCCAUAUCGUUAAUCAUGAAAUUAAUGAAAAGUAUAAAACCAAAUGAACAGACAUGAUUAAGAAUUUUAAUAAGCCUAGGGUGGGUUUUUUUAUGCUCAAUUUGGCUAAAUUAAAGAAAUAUUUAAAAAAAAACUAUUUUCAUCAUUUUGUUUAGAAAUCAAAGAUAAAUAAAUAAAUUGUAAAUUAAUGGCAUAAUAAUAAUAAUGAGAAAUGUCAAAAUAAAAAAUAUGAGAGUAUCACUAAAAAAACUCUUCUAAUUUAACUAUUUAAAUAUUUGUUUGCUUAAUUAUUUGACAAAUAGAAAAGUUAAAAAAAAAAGUCAUAUUUUAAAAGACUUUUCAAAUAAAAAUAAAUUUAUGUUUUUUUAGCCAAAAUUUUUUCUCCACAAAAAUAAUAACAAUUACAACACAUUUCUCCCUUUAAGAAUAAGAAGAUAAAAAAUAAUAUAACAAUAAGAGACUCUCUAAAUGAGAUUUUUCAUAUGACUAAAGAAGAAAGAAGGAUAACCUUAUUUAAAAAGUUUUUUAAAAUAUUUUUCACUUCAAAUAAUAAGUAAAGAAAUUUUGAGUGACGUUCUAGGGAGAAUUUUUUUUUUAAAAAGGUUAUGAGAAUUUAAUCAAUUUAUUGUUUAGUAUUAAUCAAAGACAAAGUGGGUCCAGAUCAAAGUCGUCACGUGGAGAGUGUUCAAGGCCAAUGUGAGGAAGACAAAGGGCGCUCUCUCACAAAAGGGACCGAAAACUGUCUCACACGGCUCCACCAACUUCUCUUCUUUUGUUUGACUUUUUCAUUGGUCCAAUUAGUUUGUGACACCUGUAAAGACUCAUAGAAACCGAGCCUCUUCGAGUCACAGCAGAAUAUAGAAUUAGAAAAUGACGUGGCUCACGCUCCAGCUCCCUUUAAAAAUACUCAAAAGUGUAUUUGCUUGGAAGCAUAGUCAGGAAGCAACCUUCAUGCUUAAACAAUCUUUCAUGUCUUGUGUCACCUCCCAAACUCAAAUAUACAAAAACAUUAAAACCAAAAAGGCAACCUCAUAAUCAUAAUAAUAAUAAUAAUAUCACAAUACCUACAUUAAAUAACACUUGUGACAACCAACAAAGUGUUGGCUCCACUGGUAAUGGAGUCCCCUUAAGUGGCUUGACUGGGUUUGCUCCCCAAUUCGAGUCGCAGGGAAGUCGCCUUUGUUGAGAGAAUCUGUGUCUCCCGGUUCGAGCGGGGACUUCUAGUCUGAGUUGUGGUACGGGCUUAAAAGUGCCUCCCACAGUUGGAGCCCUCCCCAGGAUAUCUCGUGAUUAAUAUCAAAAAAAAAAAAAAAAUAACACUUGUGACAUUCAACAAGUUGUCUCUUUAAUCAUAUGCAUUUAUAUUAAUAUUAUAUUCCAUACCUUACCUAAGAUUGAAAGACUAUGCUCAUUUUUUUUUGUUAGAUAUUAAUAUCCAAAAUGCACUCACUUUGAUUAUUAAUUUAAUGUUUAAAGAUAUGCAUUUAGAUGCAUCACAUGCUACUAACAAACUGAUGUUCAUGGGUAACAACUGUAAACGUUGAACUUGAGAGGGAGAAAAUUUGUUUACGAGCUUUAUUCAAAAGAAGUGUGCUUUUGCUCUCAAAAGCCACUAAACGACAUAGUAAAAGCAUUCAAAUUUCAAACGGUCGUGGCCUUCGCUUGCUCUUUGGUACAAAGAAAAUCGAGUGAAUUAAAAUUUGAUGGGGACGGACAAAUUGGCCAGCGACCCUUGAUUUUAGCCACUUAAUGACAGCUGUUAAUCUAAUUGCACUGGCUUAAUAAAAGUAAAACGGGGGCCGAUUAUAUCGCGAUAUUUUAACGAUUCAUAGAAAUCAUUGAUUAAAAUUAGGUUACGGCAAUGUCACGUGGUAACCGGCGCAAAUACCGGAACGGCGAUUGGCCCGAUCCCGGCUCCCUAAUACGGCUGCUAACGUAAAAUAAAAUUGUUUCUCUUAUUACGAAUGUUCUAAAUUCAUCUUUUUUUUUACUGUUACAAGAGUUUUUCAUUGGCCAAAUAAUCCGACAUUCUUAAAUAUAAAUAUAAUUGUUGUUUAUCAUAUCUACAAUUACUUUUUUUUUUAUAAUAGACAAUAAUUUUAAUAUAUCAUUUUUGUGUUUUUUUUUAUAAGUCACCCAUUUAAAAAGAAAAAGAUACAAGAUGUUGUUUAAAAUCAUUUCACAUGGAUAUAUUUUUAUUUAUUCAUAAUAUACGAUAAUCAUAUAAAGCUUUUAAAAAAAUAACCGUGUAAAUUUAACAUUAAUGAUUCAUUGAUAAUGAACAUAAUCAUAGAAUGGUUCAAAAUAAUUUAAUUGCUCUUAAAUAUGUUGAACUCUUAUUUCAUCAUAAUUUGAAUUAAAAAUUUUGUUAUUUAAUAACUAAAAUGUAUAUAUAUUUGUUUCUUCGUUUAAUUUGAUGGAUCAUGGAUCCAUAUUGCUAAUGUGAGAUAAAAAUUUUCUCAUAAUUUAAAUUUUUAUGAGUUUUUAAAUAAUAAUAUAUGAAUAAGAUUUAAAUUUUUUAUUUUUUUAUUUAUUAACUACUAAUUACUUAUAUAUAUUUACACGAAAUUAAAUGAUAAAGAGAAUCCUAUUCCCCUGUUGGCACGGACUCUCACAUUAUCAUAACACCCGAGAUCUGGUUUUCUCGUCUCACGAGAUUGACGUUAUUGAAAAAAAAAAAAAAAAAGCACCAGCCAUACUGUUAAUGCAAUCAUUAGCAGAGAAAAAAAAUCUAAUAGAAGCAUGUGUAGAGCUCCAAAAGCAUAAUCCUCCCAAAACCGCCCUACCAUUUUAACUCAAAAUUACAGAUAGCAGAUCAACAACACUCUUUGCAUUUUCCAUUUUGUAGUUCAAUUAUCCAUUAUUUGAUUUUUCUGUUCUACAUUUUUUUUUUUUUUACCUGGAACAAGAAGAUCUUUAUCUUCUUUAGCUAGUAACAAAAACCUCUCUUUGAAUCCAAGUUUCUCUCACAUCUCCUUUUGUCUUUUAACUUGACAUAUCUGUCUUGAGUUUACUCUUUCAACGGAUUUGCUUUCAUGGGUAGUUGCAAAAUCUUUGAUUUAAACUCACAAAAACUGUACUAAAAACUUUAUCUGGUUCUUGUUAACAAGGGCGGAUUUGUAGUACAUUAUUGAACUUUAAGUCAGUUUUAGAGUUUUAGUGUACUUACAUUUGUCUUCAUAAACACUAGUAUCCAAGUCAUUUGAUUUUUCUUUUUCUUUUUCCUCUUUUGAAGUUUCGUUAAUGAGUUCUUGUUUUGAGUCUUGUGGUUUCUAGAAGACUAUUGGGUGGUAAAAGAUAGAAUCUUGAACUGAAAAUGAGAUCAUACUCGUCACUUGAGCUUCUGUUUGUUCUCUCUGGAGUUCUUUUUGCAACCUGCAAUGCCUUUGCUACAAAUGAAUGUAAUGUUUCGUUUGUUUACUUUUUGUCUUGCCUCAGAUCUCGAAUCUUUUGAUUGUGUUAAUUGUUCUCUUUUUCCAACAUUUUCUUAGUGACCAAAUAGUCUAUUAGCGCUGUUGAGGUCAUGUGAUCGUAAUUUUACUAAAUGGGAGUUGUGUAUUUUCCUCAGUUUGGGCUCUUACAACAUUCAAGGAAGCAAUAUAUGAAGACCCCCAUCUGGUUUUGUCCAACUGGAAUGCCCUUGAUGCAGAUCCUUGUCAUUGGACUGGCAUUGCUUGUUCUGAUGCUAGAGACCGUGUUCUAAAGAUGUAAGAGAUGAUUUGUUACUCAGUUGUAUUGUGGUACUUCUUUGACUGGAUUUCCAUAGAUAUGCAUAGUUUGGUUAAAUACAUGUUUGGGAGAAUCAUGCCUCACCGAUUUGUAUGAGGAUUUUGUUUUGUAGAAACAUCUCUGGAUCAUCUUUAAAGGGAUUUCUUGCGCCAGAGUUGGGUCUGCUGACGUACUUGCAGGAGCUGUAAGCUCUUAUUUAUUUUUGUCUUUUCCUACCGGCUGAAGUAUUAUACUUUUUUACGGUGAUUGAGGUUUAAUAUCACACGUUCUUGUCUUGUAGAAUUCUGCAUGGGAACAAUUUGAUUGGGAUAAUACCUAAAGAAUUGGGCUUGUUGAAACGUCUGAAGAUCUUGGAUUUGGGGACGAACCAAUUAACAGGUCCAAUUCCUCCAGAGAUUGGGAACUUGACUGGUUUGGUGAAAAUGUAAAUGAAAUUUAUUGUUUGUUCCCAAAGAACUGGAUUUUAUGCUUCGCACUCCUUGAAUAUUUUAACCGGUCAACGUACCUAUGUUGCAGAAACCUUCAGUCUAAUGGGUUGACUGGGAGACUGCCUGCCGAGCUCGGUAAUUUGAUUUCUCUUGAGGAACUUCAUCUAGAUAGAAAUAGGCUUCAAGGCGCUGUUCCUGCUGGCAGCAAUUCCGGCUACACAGCUAACAUUCACGGAAUGUAAGUAGAUGAUUCUUGCUUUCGAGGUAGUUAAUUUGGUUCUGAUAGACUGAUCAAGGCAAAGCAUGAGCAUUAUUGGCUUUUCAAACUCUUUAGAUGUCCUUGUGUAGCAUAUUUGUGGGCAGAAUCAUGCCAUAUUUGACAAUCUGAAAUUAAUUUCAAAAAUGGGAAAGGUAGCCAAGUAUAUAAUUCCAUGUUAAUUAUUUUCCUGGACUUAGUUAACUAGUGAGACGCUAUUAGCUUCCUUUUCUUUUUUACUUCCUCAGUGUUCCAUAUUUUGGCAGGAUUAUAAGGAUAUUGAUAAUUUUUAUUCAUAAAUGAUAGCUUUACUUGUUGAAUACUGUCAAUGUACCGUCCUAGUAUGUGUAAUACUUUUGUGGCUCAUCCUUAUUUGGAAAAUUACGUCAUUCUAAGCCUUAUUUGAUGGUUUUAGUUUCCUAAUAAAUUUUCUUGAAAUUUAUUUCUGGUGCAGGUAUGCCUCAAGUGCAAACCUAACUGGCUUGUGUCACUUGUCUCAGUUAAAAGUUGCAGAUUUCUCGUACAACUUCUUUGUUGGAAGCAUACCUAAGUGCUUGGAGUAUCUUCCAAGGUACCUGCACCUUUGUGAUGGGGCUUUCUGUUUUUUUUUUUUUUUUCCUGUUAGCUUAUUUUUGGUCUACUUAUAUCUUGUAGUACAAGCUUUCAGGGGAACUGUCUACGGAACAAAGAUCCCAAACAACGUGCAACUACUUUAUGUGGUAUGCUAGGCUUCAUUUCACAUUUGGGCUUAGUUGAGAUGGAAUUUAAGAUGUCCUACUCUGCAGAUAAAAAUGCUGAUUUCACUUCUGUAAUGGAAUAUAUUUUAAAUUUUAUGUAUUUAAUUUGAAAUACAGUCACCUAGUUGUCUAGUUGAAGUCUCCAAUACUUUUCUUUUCGAUAUGGCUUAACCAUUCAAUACCAAUUAACAAAAUCCCUCUUCUAGGUGGUGCUCCUCCUGCCAGAACCCGUGCUGGAUUAAGCCCUAAGCACCAAGCAGCUGAAGAUGUGUCCAAGCACCAGUCUGCAUCAAGACCUGCCUGGCUUUUAACUCUUGAAAUAGUGACUGGAACCAUGGUGGGUGUUCUCUUUCUCGUUGCUGGUUUCACUGGACUCCAGAGAUGCAAGAGCAAACCUUCCAUAAUAAUCCCUUGGAAGAAAUCGGCUAGUGAGAAGGAUCACAUAUAUAUAGGUUAGGCACCUUACUUGGCAAUUAAUAUGUCUGCUUCAGUGCUACUUCAGUAGUUUAUUGCUCAAGCAAAAAAAUUGGUUAAAAUGGUGGGAUUGUUGUACAGAUUCUGAGAUCUUGAAAGAUGUGGUGAGAUUCAGCAGACAAGAGCUGGAAGUAGCCUGUGAAGACUUCAGCAACAUCAUUGGCUCUUCACCAGACAGUUUGGUCUACAAGGGCACCAUGAAGGGUGGGCCUGAGAUUGCUGUAAUAUCCCUCUGCAUUAAAGAAGAGCAUUGGACAGGCUAUCUUGAGCUCUAUUUCCAGAGAGAGGUAAUUACUCAUCCUUAACUGCAGGAAAUUUUAAUGUAAAGCCUCCAUGAGGGAGUACCAAACACCUAGCAAAAGUUAUAAACUUGGAACAAUCAAGCUUUCGGUUGUAUGGACUUUCAGGUGGCAGACUUGGCAAGAAUAAAUCACGAGAAUACAGGAAAGCUGCUAGGCUAUUGCAGAGAGAGCUCCCCAUUUACAAGAAUGUUGGUUUUCGAUUAUGCAUCAAAUGGAACUCUAUAUGAGCAUCUCCAUUGUAAGUCAAGUUCCUUAUACAUAAUUGGAUUGUCUAUGAUGCUUCCUUAGAUUAAACCUCAGCAACCAAUGUGGCUGCAGAUGGUGAACGAUGCCAAGUAUCUUGGACACGGCGUAUGAAAAUUGUAAUAGGUAUUGCACAUGGACUCAAGUAUCUCCAUACAGAACUUGACCCUCCUUUUACUAUAUCAGAGUUGAAUUCUAGUGCUGUAUAUCUUACUGAAGACUUUUCUCCCAAGGUAUCCCCGCUGUGUUUAUCUUUUCUGUUAGUUUCAAGUAUAAUAUGCUAGUAUUUUCUACAUAAUUGAAUGAAUGUUUUAGCUGAAGUCACUUUUGGCUUGUUCAUUACAAAAGAAUCUACCAAAUGCUAGAAACAACAUUUCCUUAAUUAUAUAAACAUUGUUUUUAAGAACAUCUUUUGACUUCUGCUGCAGCUGGUUGAUUUUGAAAGUUGGAAGACAAUUCUUGCAAGAUCGGAGAAGAACCCUGGCACUCUUGGCAGCCAAGGUGCUAUCUGCAUACUUCCAAGUUCUCUUGAGGCACGGCAUUUGGAUGUCCAAGGCAACAUUUAUGCAUUUGGUGUGCUUCUGCUGGAAAUAAUCAGUGGGAGACCUCCACGCUGCAAGGACAAAGGGAACUUGGUAGAUUGGGUAUAAUUCAUGAAGCUUCUGAACUUGAAUAUUGUUUCUAUUCAUUCUCUAAUUAUUACUUGAGUUGAAGCUAACACCAAAAACUUCUAAUAUUUGGCAGGCUAAGGAUUAUCUUGAAUUGCCAGAAGUAAUGUCAUAUGUGGUGGAUCCUGAGUUGAAACAUUUUAGUUACAAUGACCUCAAAGUUAUCUGCGAAGUGGUGAACUUGUGCGUCAAUCCAGACAUCACCAAGCGACCAUCCAUGCAGGAAUUGUGCACAAUGUUGGUGGGCAGAAUUGACACUUCCAUAUCAGUUGAGCUUAAGGCAUCAUCUUUGGCAUGGGCUGAGCUUGCACUUUCAUCAUGAUUGAAUUGAUGCUAACACACCGUAGAUUAGAUAUAUACGAUUGUAUUACUCUAUUCCUUUUUCUACCUGCGAUUUCUCGUCGUCCUUGUAAAUGUUGCUGAAAGAAACAUAGAGCUUCGUGUGUGACAAAGUCUACUCACUGUAUACCAUUUGGAUAAUCAGUAAGAAAAGUUCUGAAAUCACAAUAUAGUAAAAAAGGAAGCCCCUAUGUUACAAUUAAUGUAACAAACACACUCAACAACAACUACACAAAUGAUGGGCCCACACAAUUUGUUCUUGCUCAAGGGCAUUAACUUGGUCGCUCUGGUUAUAUAUUUUCUCUAAUCUUUUUAUUUUGUACAGUUCACCGACUUGUGAAUUCUCUCUAAUGCAAGACAGCAUUCACGAUGAUGGGUUGGUCAGAAUUUUCCUUCCACAACCCGGAAUGGUGAGGCUGCUUUGAUUGUGCUUAUGCUAAAUUAACGAAAAAUAAGCUUAUUUUAGGAUAAGGUAAUCACGAAUAAUUAUACCACUUUUUGUAAAAAAAAGGCUGGGAGGACAUUCUGCCUGAUGGGACAAACAUGUGAUCCUCUGAUACAAUUUUAAGCCGAAAAUUGGAGUUAUGUAGAUUGAGAUUCCGGCCUUCAAAUAACAAUUGCUCUGAUGAUUCCUGGGCUAGCUACAAUACAAGCACUUUCUUCCAUUGGUUUGUUUUACCAUCAUAACAGUACUAUCACAUAGUAACCAAAUCAAAAUUGUACUAUGCUGGCAGAAAAUUUAUAUAUAUGGCUGACCUUUAGAUCUCAGUUCAACAACUCUUGAUGAAUCAAGAAGUGCUAAGUACUGAAAAUGUAACUAUUAGAUAAACGCAUUUUAUCCCUGAAAAUGAAAAACAAAACUGAAGUAGAAGAAACUAAUGUUUAGGAUGGGAGUAAUGAUUGUCAUUUGGAUUCCUCCUCCCGCUGAAAACUGCCAAUGCCUUUCUUAUGGGAGGCUGCAGAGGAGCUCUUUUAUCAGUAUGAUGUUUGAAUAUAUCAUCAGAAGUGACGAAGUUGUCUCCCUGGAUAAUGAGUACAAAUCAGCAUCACACUAAAUUUAACACAAACUAGCAUUUACAAAAUUCAAAAUUCAGGUACAACAAAACCAGAGGUGCUCAAACUGAAGGUAACUAGAACAAGGAAAAACCACUAACCUCCUUAUUUACUUUCUUCUUGUUUUUAGGAUAAAGGUACUUUUGUGGAAGUUGAUCUUCACGUAAAAUUAGAUUCUUUGUAAUGGCAUCCCUUCCACCUUGGGGCAUAGGUAGUGAAAACUGUAAACAGCCAAAUGUCAAGCCACACAGUGGAUAAAAGCUUGCAAAAAUGCUCCAGCAAAAAGUAUCAAACUGUACAAUGGUUUCAAGGAUUUUGAUAAGAAUGUCCAAUUAACAAGGUCUCACAGGAACAUUAAAUUUGACAAACAAUGUAAAUGAAGCUUACGGACAAUAACUCAACACACAACCAAGUUACAGUUGAGAGUCUCGAGAAAGAGUUUACAGCUUAUCCCCUAUAAAGAUAUACUUACUUUUGUUCCACGCAGCGUAAUGCGAGGCCGACGAGAUGCUAAUACAAUUCCAUUUUCAGCGACUGUAACAGCUACCUUGCGUAAAGUGCCACCAUUUCCACACUUUGGGCAGAAAAUCCUCCCAAUUUCAGCAGUGAUAGUGUAGCAGGCAUGGCAUUUCAGUAUCCACCUGGGUAUACAGACAUAUCAAGAUAAGCAUAAACACCAUUGAGAUACUUAUUUCAUGAUUAGACAUUAUACGAAUCACCCAGGGGAAUGGUGAAGAAAAAAGAUUUAAACAUUUGUCAACUAUAUACCUAUGUAGCUGGCGGAUCUGCAUUCCUCCGGGUGCCAAUAAGCGUAAACCCAUCUGCAGAAUAACAUUUUGCAUUGCAUAGUCACCAGUUAUACAGGCAACAGUGGACUCAGACAAGGAUCUCAACAUCCAACUCUGUUCACUGCAUUCAUCAUCCACGUAUGAUACAUCAACACUUUCAUUGUUCUUGCUUGAGAUCUCCAUUUGAUCUACAUUUUCAUUGGUGGUAUCAACUUCACCUCCUUCAACAGUUGAAUUUCCAUUGACAUCAGAAGUUGCUUCCACCACGGGGGAAAUAUCAGAAUCAUGAGUAGUAGAACAAAUGUCAACUUCAUUGCCUUCCGGGAGAGCCUUCAAUGAAUCUUCUUCAAGCCUCAUUUGGUUUAAUAUUGAGGAAAGUUCUUCACUGCCGCUCUUCUCUGUUUUCUCACUCUCCUCAGAAAUCCCAUUUGUAUCACGAGCUUCUUCAGAGCCCAGAUGCAACUGCUGCUCUAGGUUACCAGAUUCAUCAACAUUGUUGCUAUCAUCACCCAUCUCCUUCUCUUGCUGACUAUCUUUGUCAGUUAAUGAGUCGUAAUAUUCACGCCUUGCUUUUCUUCUAACAUACCUUCUAUGAGUACUUCGGCUGACAGCAGGCAUCCAAUCAGCAGCAUCAUCUUCAACUUGCCCUUGAGAAGCAUCAAUUCCAGCAGCCACCAUCUUCUUCCCUUCAAUAUUCACCUCAAUCUUCUUUGGCAAAUAUCUCCUAGGUCUCCUCAAUCCAUGUUCACCAUCCUCUUGAUUUUCAGAGUUACCCCCACCUUGAGACUCCACAGACCCAUUUUCAGAAUGGUAAUCCCCAGCAAUGACAUUCAGAUUCAGGUCUCUCAAGGGAAGGAUUCUUGAAUUGGUGUUUAACUUAUCCGCAUUGUCAUUAUCUAACGCUUCCCACUCUUCUAAAUUGGCAACGUUAGACCCCCAACCAGGCAAAUCCUUCUCCGGUAAUCUCUUCACAUUCACUGUAUGAAGAGGAGGAGGUGCAUCCCUGAGGUGCUUAGUCCCAUGCAUCUGAGUCUCCAGUGUGCAAGUCAAUGCAAUAAGCUUAAGAUCAACAUCCGAAAGAGUCUGUAAAUCACCCGUUGCCCUCGCAAACUUUAUAACUGCAAGCCGCAACGAAGCACUUUUUAAUACAUUGAACAAAACAAAUUAAAAAAAAAUGAAUUAAUUACAUUUUUUUUAAUUUCUCUAACUAAGCACUAAUGGUGCAAUCUCAGAUUUUUUUUUUUAAAUAUCUAACCAAAUUGUUAUGCAACAAUAAAAUAAAAAAAAUGAAUAAAUGGAUAUUUGCCUUUAUUGAGGCAAUCAGGAGAAGGCUCCAUGGAAUCGAUAGAGAACGGGGUGAAGUUGAGGCGGUUGCGGGAAACGGGAUCGCGAAUUUCAGCUAAAACCUCCGGUACGGUAACGAACUUAUCGGCGAAGUUGGUGAGAUUGUGAGCUCCUUGGAUUAUUGCAUUGGCGUCGACCACAGCAACCGCUAUUCCCUCUGUAAAGUUGCAGCUCUGAGCUAAGAUUUCGGCGGCUGGCACCGUUUUGGUCUGCGUCGCGGCGCUUUGCGGCGGUUGUGUUUUGACUAUGUUGCUCCAGCAUGAGCUGGAGUUUGGGGUCGAAUCCAUACCUAGGGUUUCCGAGGGGGCGAGAGAGCGAAGAACGUAAGAGAUGAUGUUCUUAAAACCCUAGUUUGAGUUUUUGAGGGAGUGGGGGAGGAGAAACAGGUGUUACGAUGUCGUUUCUACUUCUUUUUAAGGAAGACAAAUAAAACGACAAGUAAAAUGAUGCUGUUUUAACUUGUAUUAUUGUCCGUAGUCAUGUCGUUCUUUUAUUUCCUCUUUGUAAGCUAUGUCGUUCAUUUUGGUUCGAUGGCCCAAUUUUCUUAUGGCCCAUAAUCAACAAAACCACGAAUACAGUUAUCAACGUACGUUGCAAUAUUCUAUUAUUAUUGUUAGCGACUCGGUUCAGAUAAGAUCGCCGGGUUUUUAUUUUUUAUUUUAUUUAUUUAUUCAGUAUUUCAGUUUUCAUUUGUUAAUUUCUCAAGGAAUUGAAUUCAAAAGAUUGGAGGCGUUUGUGCUCAUUUUGCAAGUAUUUUAAAAUAAUUAAGGAAAAUCAGUGUACAAGAAAAUGGAAGUAAAUCAGUAAUAAUUGAAAAUUGAUUUUUGUUAGAUGAAUUUGUAUUUUGUGAGCCUUCUUUCUUGAGAGCUCACAAGAAUGUAUUUCAAAUAGCGUGCUUCCUUUAUGUGGCCAUUAAAAUAAUAAAUAAAUAAAAAAUGUACAAAAUCACCACUCAUACAUGGCAUUUUGUUUGGGGAUUUUUUUUUUUUUUUUUUUGGGUUUAUCACAGAAUAUGAUUGAUCAUCUUUCACCGGCCGGAAUGGACACCCUGCUGAUGAUUUUAAAGAUUGAACUUCUAUGUAACUGUUAAUCAUGAACCAUAUAUUACAAGAGAGAAAGAGAGCUGACAGCCCAAGUUAAAAGCAAUGGCUAGCUACUUAAAGAAAGAGGAUAAAUAAUCCCUACCGAGGACUGAUCGAGUAGUGAACAAUAAUCAAUCUUCUAUUGAAAUUGGAAACCGAUCAUCGAUGGAUGGAGCCAUGCAUAGCUCUUUUACACGAAGCAAUUUUAAAAGCAAUAAAAGUUUCGAAGCUUUCAGAAGGAAUGCAUAACAAGAUUAAUGAUGGCAACGUACAAUUAAACAAAUAAAAUUGACAAAAGAAAAGAGAAAGGCCCCCAAAUUAGCUAGACACGAAAUUAAUGAAGAGAGAGAGAUGUGUGGCAAUUGGUUAUUAGAGUGCUCGUGAUUUAACAAUGUCCAAGCUCAUCUCGCUAGGAUCAGUAGCUUGCAACUCGACUUGAACCCCAUCCAAUUCUCUUCUGAACCUAUCUUUUGAACUAGCAUACAACAUUUUACUCCUGAUCCUUGAUGUAUCUGGAGACCUGGAACAAUCGGUAUUACUUAAUUAAAUUAACCCGUAUAAUAAAAUACUAAAAUUGGUUUAUUAUAAACGUACCAUGCAACGAAGAAAAUCUUGCUCUUUUGGCAAUUCUCAUCAGUGGUGAAAUCGAAAUCAUAGACGGCGUAGCGGCACUCAUCAGCUGGCAAACUGGCAGUGAAAUCCUCGUAGCUUUCAUUAGGUUCUCCCAGUUUCUCGACGGUCACCUGUUGAAUUUUUUCCUCUAUUUUGAACACAAUGAAUCGGUAACUCCGCUUUGCUUUUAGUUCCAAGAACUUCAGCUUACAGUCAUCAUGCACAGCCAUCCCCGAUGAGGAAUUUGCCUGCAUGUCCCCAUAAUAUCCCGACCCACACGCACACACAUAUAUAUAUAAAACACAAAAAUAAUUAAUUAUAUUUAAUUUGUCAAGAUAUACAUAUAAUGAAACCUAGCUAAUUUAACCCAUUUCAUCAAUAUAGUUAAUUAAUUGUUUCUCUGAGAAAUUUGGGAGUCGCAUGUUACACAGUCUGCGACAUAUGGGGUUGCUGCAACAACCAAUACAUAUCUAACUUGGCAGAUCAAAUUGUCUGACGUUAAAAUGCAUGAAAUCAAAUUUGUUACACAAAGAAGAUAUCGGCAACAUGCACUGUGAUUCAAAUGUUCUUACAGAAUCAGGCAAAUUCUUGAUCAUGCUACGGGCCAUAUUACUACCUAACCACAUGCAUGCAAUUUUGUAUCUACAACAACAAUUAAUCAAGAAACCAAAAGAUUGAAAAGAUGAAACACAUACCAUUUUGCCACUAAUGAGAGAAAUCUGGAUUUGAGAAAUGUGAAAGGAAGAAGGAAAUAGGGGCAAGAGAAUCAAAGUGAAAAUAUGUUAGUAAAAAAGAGAAACGAGAUCCUUCUUUUCUGGAGCUAUGAGAGGUGCACAUUUGAAGAUGUCCGAAAUAGAUGGACGCAAGACAAAUAUUAAGGGAGGAAUUGCUAUUUAGUUUUUCUGGGCAAAUCAUGUCCACAAAUUCUAUUUUACCUAUUUUAAUCCAAACUCAUUUGGCCGAAGUGAUUUAUCCAUCAAGCACAUGAAUGCCCCUGUGAUAUAAGGUUAAUGGUAGCGAUGUUUUACAACUUUAGCAAAACGUGCAUGUAUAGAGAGGGGGAAAAAAGUUUCAUAAGGUUAACUGCGAUUCUUGAAGGCGUGAAUGUAGUUUAAUAUAUAUCUUAGGGAUAUUAAGCAAAGAAAAAAAAGUUAAUUUAUUAAAUCAGCCUUAAAAGGAAAAUAAAAAUUAAGAAAUUUUUUUAUGUUAUUAUUUUAUUUUUAUGAUUAAUUUGAUAAAUUUUUUUAUAAAAAAUUAUUAAUAAAAUUAUUAUAACGAUAUUAAACAUUACUUUAAGUUGGUUGAUAUUAAUUUAUCUAUAAAUAAUUAUUAGUAAGAUUGUUGUCAGGUACAAAAAAUACUAAUUCUAUCAUACUUAUAUCUAUUAGUAAUUUACUAAUAAAUAAUUAUUUUUUAAUUUACUAAUUACUUUUUUUACAUAAAUUAAUCAAUAUUAAGAAAAUUUUUGCACGAGUAUUAUUGUAAAAAAAAGUAAGGAUAAGAAUGUGACAUAAUUAACAGAAAAAAUAUUUUGAGAUAUCUUUUAAAAUACAAAAACUAAACAGAUAGUUAAAUAAAAAUAAUAUUAACUUGUGUUUAAUCAAACCACCUCAAUGUGUUUUACUCACAUGAAAAUUAUAUAUCGGUGAUACUUGCAUCAUCUUACAUAAAUUUUUUUAUUUAAAAAGACAACUAUCAUGACCAUUUAAUCAAACAAUAUACACACAAUUGCUAAACUCUCCCACAACUCGAAAAAAGUUGGAAGUUGGUCUUUAAGAAUCCUAUGAUGGGUUCUUUUAAAAUAAUUAUGAAAAGCAAAAACUGAAAGAAAAAUGUUUCACGUAUAUGAAAUAAGAGUAGGUGUUUUGAAAUCCGUUAAAAUUUCUCAUAAAAUCUAUUUUUAAUUGAAAUUAUCUAAGUAAUUAAAGAAUAAAUUAAUUUCUUAUUUUGAAUAGAAAUUUAAUUAAACACUUAAAUACAUCCUUCUUUUAAUAAAUUGUUACAUCCGUCUCAUUUCAUAAUUUAUAUUUUAAUUAAAAAUAUAUUUUUAAAAAAAAAUUGUAAGAGUUUUUUUUUUAAAAUUUUGUACCCUUCUGAUGUUGAAUAGUGGAUACAGUUUUUUGAGAUUUUGGAGUAACUAAUUGCAAAAGUCAGAGUUGUUCCCAUAAUUUUAUUUUUUUGAAAAAAAAAAACUGAGUUAGAGACCAUUUUGAUAUGGAUGAUCAAAUAUGUUGACCCAUCAAUGUGAUAUCCAAAUUUUUUAAGGUAAAAAUAAUAAUAAGCUUUGUGAAGUUUCAGGAGCUUAUUUUUUUGACUAGUGUCAACUGCUAUCCAUUCUGAUAGGUUAAAAUUAUCUUCUCAUAAAAAUAUUACUUUUGUUUAAUCAAACCAUCCGGUCCAUCCCAGUGCUUAGUCAUGGGAAUUUAUUUAUUUUUCGUUUUUGUUUUGUUCUUAAUGAUUAUUGCAUUUAUUUAAAAUGUUUGAUAGAACUUUACUAUAACUAAUUACAUGACAAGAAGUAAGCUUUCUUGCAUGAUCUUUGGGCAUCUUAUGAGGUGGAUUUUAGUGUGGCAAAUGUAGAUUUUAGUCAUUACAUUAAUUUGUUAAUUAUUACCUAUUUGAGAAAAUUAAAAAUUACGUCUUAUAUACUAUAAAUAUAUUUUAUAAAUACAAAAAUCAAAAUAAUUUUAGUAUUAUUUAAUCAAAAAUAUUUUGUGAUAACAAAUUAAUUAUUUAUGUUUUAGAAAUAAAAUUUUCAUUUAUAAUCUGAUCCAAUAAACAUCAAACACAAGACAAUACUAAUUAUAAUCUAAUCCGAUCAUAUCCGAAUGUAUCCAUUCGGCAUUCUGAGAACACCUUAAAAGAACUCUACAAUUAAAAAAAAAAAAAAAAAAGCAGCCCAAUCUGAUUAUUAGCUCAAUUAAAAGGAUGGCAGACACAGCUGCUCAAGCUCUCUUCAUGAGGUGGCCAGAGUACAUCUUUUCAUGAUAAAAUGCUAAACUUCAUUUUCACUACCAUUUAUAUAUAGGUGCCGGCAGUAAUGGCAAAUUUAGCCUAAAGUCGAGCUUUAAAAAGGUAUGAUAAUCAUUCAUUCUUGAGUUUCUUAUUUUUGCAAAUACAGAAAUGGAAACUAAGGAAACAAGAAGACAUAUUAUGUUUGCUGUCAAUUUACACAAGAAUCUGGCAUAUGCUGUCAAACAGAAAUUUGACUUCAUAAAACUGUAAAAAUCACUGUAAGGAAAAACAUUUUCCAUGUACGAGGCAUGCAACGGUCACUUUCUAAAUGAAUCCCACAGCACACCUAAAUCAACAUUACCUCCUGAAAGUACAAUUCCUAUCUUUUUACUAUCUUGCCAAGCAGGAUUCUUUCUGAAACCGUCUGAUAAAACAGCGGCGAGGCCUAUGGCUCCACUAGGUUCUACUGCCACCUUCAGAAUCUCAUAACAGAGUUUCAUGGCUUCUAUUAUCUCCUUAUCCUCCACAGUAAUUACGUCAUCAACAAGAUCUCGUACAAUUGGCCUGCACCAUAAGAGAGAAAGGCAUAUAAUAUAAAUUAAUUCCAUAAACUGGAAUUGAUUUACAGAUGAAGGCAGGCUGGCGAAAGAGAUGAAAUAAAGUCAUGAAUUUCUUCACUCUUGAGACAAACGUAAGUAUAAAAAGGACGAGCAGAAUCAAACUUUACAUUUCAGUGUGCAAGAGAAAAUUUGUAACCUUCAUGCAUCAAUUAAUUAUCAAGAUUGUCUUUACCACGUAAGAUCUCCAAGAAAAGCUCGGAGCCCAUCAGCAACAGUGUUUGUUUCGAGCAAUGUUAUAAUCCUGCCAGCUGCUUUAGAUUGAGCUGCAUCAUUAGCUCCAAUAGGUUCAGCAGCCAAAAUUCGAAUGGCAGGUUUGAUGGACUUUGCAGCCAGUGCCACCCCUGAUAUUAAACCACCUCCUGCAAUUGAAAUUUUUUCAAACUAUUAUCAUUUGGCUUCCAAAAAAACAAUCACCGAAACCAAAAGUGAUAUGGGACCCCAAAUAUGAAUUGAAACUAAAAUGUUGUCGAACAAACCACUUAUGGGAACUAUUAUUGUAUCAAGUAGAGGGACUUGCUCCAGAAACUCCAGUGAAAUGGUACCCUGCCCACUGAGAAAACAAUGCAACUCAUCAUAGCACAUUCAAAUCAAUGCAAAAGUUCCAGGUUUUCCCCACACAUGAAUUUUGUGCAGACCAUAUGCAUAACGCUUGUGAAUAUCCACUAAUACAGCAUGGAGCUAUAUCAUUUUAUGAAUAGAAUUCAAAUAAAAAUGCAAAUUACCAUAGCAGCAAUAUAGUACCUGAUUAUUCGCCCAUCAUUAUAUGGAUGUACAAGAACUGCUCCAGUUUCCUCCAGCACCUUGGAUGCGACACUCUCCCUUGAAUGCAUUGUGGCCUCACUCCAAAUAACCUGACCACCGUAACGCACGACAUUCUCAACUUUGCAUUUUGGAGCAUUCUUCGGUAUAACUAUAUAUGCUGGUAUCCCCCGUAACUUUGCAGCCAAAGACAAAGCUGCAGCAUGGUUACCACUAAUUUUGAAGUACAAUAUCAGGGGACACCUAAACACUCAAAUUAUCAUUAACCACGGAAAUGCUAGUAAGCUCAGGAAAAACCUGCUAUGUGUUACAACCCCUUUAAUUGCUUGAUCUUCAUCAAGCGAAAGAACUGCAUUAGAGGCACCUCUGAAUUUGAAGGCUCCACUAUCAGAGCAGAAAAGGAAAAGAACAUCCUUAAUUUUAAUAUCGGUGCAAGAGUAAUUAAUGAAAUACUGUAUCCACUAUUCAGUGAAAAAAAUUUGUUCUCACCCCUUCUGAAAACAUUCACAUUUGAAGAAUAGGCUUCUUCCAGACAUAGCAUUUAGAGUUUCCGAGGACAAAACUGGAGUUUUAUGAAUGUACAGCGAGAUGCGUUUUUGAGCUUCUUUUAUGGAUGAGAAAUUAGCAGCAUACUGCUCCCCGUUCGCCUCCAUCUCCAACUUCACUGUUAAAAACUACUUGGGAGUUUUAAUGCUUUUGUUAUAUGAAAAUGGGCAACAAGUAAAUUGUGACAAAAUCGGAUUUUUGUCAUGCUGUCGCAAAAGAAAUAUCAUCGAACAGCCAUGAAAUUGGACAAUUUAAUUGUCAUUUCUAGUAGCAAAGCGAAGUGUGCUACAAGCAUGCAAAAUAGCUAAAUUGAAGACCCGUCCGUUAUUUCAUCAUCGCUAUGCAAUUGAGAUUUUUUGGCAGAUAACAUUUGAAAAAAUAACAACGUAAAAGAAAUGCAUAGUAGAAAAGGAGCUUAAAAAGACAUAAAAUAACUCACAGCAGCUUAGAAGUUUGAAUCCCAAACACGACUUUGAUGAUUCUGCGCCCACCUUCACCUCUCCAUGUCUGUAAUAAUAUAUAUAACGAUGCCGUUUGGUUUGGAGGAAGGUAUUUUUCACUGUAAGUCCCUAUUGUUUCUAUAAAUUAUAAAAAAUACCAAACUUUUUGACAACAUCACAUAAACGAAUAGAUCCUUAAUUUGAUUAAGAUGGUUUACAGAUUACUACACCGGUGGGAAUUAUUUGGACAUUUCUUAAACUGGAACGUUUGCAUGUAAUUGUUGAUACGAACUGACGAAAAGCAGAUUGAAUUUCUGCGCUGAAUGCAAAAGAUUUCGGGAGGAGGACACAGAACAGAACAAGUGUUUGCAUUGCAAAGAAUCUGCCACUUCAACGCUUGCGGUUCAAAUUUUCAACGCUGUGAUAUUCUCAGCAAUUCUGGAAGUAAAAAUAAGAGAACUUCACCGCAUUGACAGUUUAUUUUAGCUAUAAUUGGCUGUUGGCAAUGGCAAACUGAGGUUCAAAACGAGCUACAAAAGAGAAUGAUGAAUGCUCAUUUUCUGAGCUCUGCGACAAUGCGGCGCUGGAUUUUCCCUGUAAGCGGCUUUCCGGACAGAGAGUCAGCGAUGAAGACCUUCUUAGGGACCUUGAAACUUGCAACGUUCCUUUUACAGAAUUCCUUCACCUAUUUUUGCUCCUUCCCUCAGAAUUACAGCGCAUUGGACGUAAAUGAAAUGUAGAAUAAAAACAAAUUGGCAAUUGGCACCGACCAAUCAUAAGUUUCAAUUGGGUUAUUCUUAAAAGAACUGUUAAUCUCACCUCUUCACCAUAUUUAAUUAUUUAUCAUCUGGAUGUGACAAAAGCACUGCAUCAACUUCAGUAGGCGAUAUCUUCUCCCCAGCGAAAGGGAAAUGAUAUUAAGCAUAGUCAAGACUCGAGAAAUCACUCUUAAUAAUUCUCGUCACUGCUGAAUUGAUGAUAAUAUCAAGUCUGCUUUUUGUAAAAUAUGAAUGUUCAAUAUGGAACCCCGCGGAUACUGAGGUGAUGUUUGGUUUGAAGAGAUAUGCGUUGUUAUAGAAUUAUAUCUUUAAAAAAAAAAAAAAAGAUAUUUAAUUUUUUAUUUAGACAAUUUUAGUCUUAAGUGAAUAAAUGUUAAACUUCCAAUAUUUAUCAUCAAUACAAUUCAAAAAAUUAAACAGUGAUUUUAUUUUAUAUAUUUCUAUAAAUAACUAAUAAAAAUUAUUUUAAAUAACAUAUUAUAUUUAUAAUUAAAUUUUAUUUAAAAUUUUUAUUAACGUAAUUUUAUUUUAUUAUUAAUUUAAGUAAUUAUAAUUAACAUAAUUUGUUUCUAGAUAGUUUCUAAUAUAAUAUAAAUAAUUUCUUAAUCACUAUAUUAUAAUUUUAAAUUUUCAUUUAAGGAACCAAAAAAGGCAAAAGAAGCCGCGACUACCACAACACCGUCUCAUACAAGCUGUUGAAUGAUAUGAAAAUUAUCAAAAAUUGAUACUCUCUAUAAUGGAUGAACUCAUUUAAUUGAAAAUUUUGAUAUCAUUUCAGAUUUGUAGAAGUUAAAAAGUUUCUAAAAAUUUUUUAAUAGGGUUUCAACAACACACAUUGAUUCUUUGACCUCAAUGAUAACAUAAUAAUUUUGUUCGUCAAACGACAAGCCCAAUGGGUACUAGCAGUGACACUUCACGUGCCUAUGGCGGCUAUUUGACAACUAUUAAUUUAUGUUUUUAUAUUUUCAUAGUAAAUAUAUUUAUUUAUUUAUUUUGAUAAAUUUUUUAAAAAUCAUUACUUAAAUUUAAUUAAUGAAAUAUUUUUAAAAAAAAUAUUAAAUUGAUAAAAUAAAAUUAUAAAUAAUAACUAUUUGAUGACAUUAAACAAGUUAAAAAGUUAAAGGGGAAAUUUUAAAAGCUUUGAUUUCCAAAAGAAGAAGAAUUUGAAUUCUUCAAUUCUUUGUAUAAAAUUCAAAUUCUAUAUUAGGAUGAAUAGUAAAUUCUAAUAAAAUUUAAAUUCUUAUAUAUUUUGUCCAACCAAACAAUUAAAAAAAAAGAAAAAAAUCCAAAUUACUUUCCUAUUCUCUAUCCUCACCUCCCAACCAAACACCAUCUAAACUCCUUAAUAUGCCACCCACAUAUUCAAACACCUUUGAGAAUCAAAGUAUCCCAGAUCUCCAGUAAGGAACCACCCAAAUUGAAAAGUAGUCUUAUUAGCCUCAGGAUUAUUAAUCCUUUGUACCAUUGGGCCCUCUCUAAUGCACAUCUUCCCAUUAACAUUCGCCUUUUGGUCUACACCAUUCUCGUCUGGAAUAGCCAUCUCCUGCCGGACCGGCUUCCCUACCGAACUAGCCUUAUGCGGGCCGUUUUUAGGCAACAGUACGAACACGGUACAUACAGAUAUGGCACUAGUCACCAAGCAGGUAAACUCUAAUUUAGGCCAGCUGUCUUGGUCUAAACCAAACUCUAAUCUCGGAGGCAGGUAAACUCGGGCCCCAUAGAAUAAGAAUACAUUGGUGUACGGCGUGAUGGUUAGUUGGGCUUGUUUCAUGGAUGGAUAAUGGGUUCAUUGUCAUUGAAUGAUGAAAGGCUGGCCCAAAAUCAAGACUGAUAUAAUAAUUUUACAUUAAUUUUUAUUUUUGAAUUACAUACAACGUACAUUAUUUAUGUAUUUGGAUAAUAGUCAUUACGAGAUCUUUUAGAUGAAAGUAAUUGAAGUUCAUAAAUAACCAAGUCAAAUUCAUAAUUUCGGUGAGCGCAUGCGGCAGAAAAUUAUUAUUACUCCUGUAAAAUAUGGCUUAAUAUGGGCCAUACUUGCCGACCAAGGCCUACUUGCUAAAAUUAUUAGCUUGGUUUUAAUGACAGGAUUAUUUAUUUAAUCAUACUAAAGGUUAAUGUCAACAUACAAUAUUUUGGAAUUGUUACAAGUGAGAAUAAGUCAAUUAUAAUUUACAAAGGAGCAAAAGGGAUGUUUUAUUUCGCGGGCCCAUUUCGUAAUUGAUGGAUUUUUCUAAAGGUAAAAAGCUAGGGACAAAGUCAUUUUCGCACUAUAUUGAUUAUCACAAAUAUUUUAAUGGUAAUGCCCGCUUGUUACGUGCAGGUUCAAACAAACGAUGCUUCUGGACUUGGCGGGAAUGUUGAAAAAAAUACUUGGGCCUUCGUUCUCAAUCUAAGUAGAUCUGAUGUAAGGCCCAAACCGUUUUAUUUUUAAUAAUUAGUAAAUUAUUAAUUAUUAAAAAUUCUCAUAAGUUAGAAAAUAGAACCAAAUUAUUGAUUAUGAAAUUAUCAACAUCAAACAGAUUCAGCAUGGGCAUGGCAUGUGACAUGUAUUUGGCUUGACGGUCGACGCUUACUUGCGUGCCAAUAUUAAUUUGCAACUCUGUCUUUUCAGGUUCAGCAAUAUUUAACUCCGGUUUAAUGCGAUCCUUUUAUGGGAAUUUUAAUUCGUCAUCGGUUAGUUUUGUUCAUUCCUGUUUUUAUUUAGCAUCAUAGUUUGAACUUUGAACUGUUUCGAAUCACAGACGAACAAGAAGAAGAAUAAUUAAAGGAAAGACUGUUUUUAACCAAUUUUGAUUGCAUGAUAUGUACUGAUUUUCCGCUGAAUAAAAUUACAAAAAAAAAUUGUAAUUAGUCAUAAUUGGAUAAAAUCAUUUCAAUUAAUUAUUUAAAUGAUAACCAGAUUUUUAUUUUUAUUUUUUUCUUUUUCAUAGGAAUCAUUUCAAUUAAUUGUAAUUAGUCAUAAUUCUUUUUCAAUUAUGGAUUCGUCACAGCAUAAAUGAAUAAUAAAUAAAUACGAUUCAAUUUGUUUAUCAAUUCUACUAAACGAAUUAAACGAAUCGAACCAUAUAUUCGUUUAAUAAACGAAUCGAAUCUGAAUCUUGAGAUUUCAAUUUGAUUAAUAAAUAAAUCGAAUCUGAGUCAGUAAAAUUUUAACUCAAUUUAUUUACGAUUCGAUUCGAAUUCAAAUUAAUUCAUUUUGCCGCCCUACUCGUCAUAUGGGCGUAGACAUGUGCGUCCUUUGAACGAACGUGUAUCCGGUCGAAAUAUUGAGACUUUGGAAGUCAGCAAACAAAGAACUUAUUUUGAAAGAACGAACUCGGACGCAAUUUUGUUUUUCUUCCUAUAAGUUUCCAUGAAAAUUAACACUGAAUUUGACUUUCUGUGAUGAUCUGACAUUGUGCCCGACAUAAGACAAGGAUGUGCUUUAUUAGUAAUUGUAGAUAAUAAGACAUAAAUAUACAAUAUACACAAUUUUUUUUUUUUUAAUUAAAUAGUUUAGCAAGGCGCGCUGCAACUCAAUUUUCCUCCACCGCGUAACUACAACUCAUAUCAGCAUAAUCCAUAUUCUUGGACAGAAACAAUCAACUAUUUGCAACUAUUGAAGCUCUGACUUACUGUGGAUUUGUUUUUCUUUUUUUUUGGGAAACUUUCUUUUCUGUGACAUCACUUCUAUAAUUUGUCUUGAUGGUUAUUACACAGUGACCAACAAACCCAGAUCCAGAUUCUUAAAGAUUCUAGAGUACCUAGGGUAUAUAUAACUCUAGUGCCGUCAUUAUAAUUAAAAUAUUCUGUAUAAAAACAACAGGUGGAGUGAUCAAACAUACAUCACAAGAAGGGACUCAGCUAAGUUGCAGAUUCUGUAACUAACAGCUGAGUCCACAUUGGCCUUGCAUCAGCUGAGUUUGGGUUGCUUUUCCUCACUCCUGCAACCCGUGGAAGCGUCCCAUUUGCUGUGUUACAUACAGAGUCGGUACCGUAGCAAGCUCCCACAAGAGGAAGUACUUGUGCUUACUAAUAAUAUAUACUAGGUUUUUGCCAAGUCAAUGAUUUUAAUACAAUAAUAUUUUAGUCCAUACGUUUGAUGAUGGCUCUGAUGAUCAAGCAAAGAUAAUAAUUCUUUAAGGAAAAAAAAACCCACAAGCAAGAGCAAAGUGACACUGUUUUGCAUUAAUUGUUUGAUUAUUUUAGGCGGUUUGAGUUUACUAUAAAUAUGGGGUUUCUUUUGUGCAUAAACUGCGUGUUACAAAAGAAAGGUUUGAUCUCUUUCGAGCCAAGAUUUGAUCUCUUUCAAGCCAAGGCUUUCUCUUUAUCUCUACCUAUCGGCGAUCGUAAGUUUCUUCUUCUUAUCUAAUUUUGUUAAUUAUUAUUUUAUUGUCUAACUUUUGCAAAAUUUCGUACUUGAUCUCUUGAGUUGCAUAUGUUGAGAACAUAUGUCAAUCUAUGUCUCAUUUUCAUCAUAUUCUCAAGAAACUGCUAUGAAAGAUAUGGUUAGCUAGCUUUUAGUCUUAAAUUCAAUUUCUACGGUAAUGCAUUCUUACGUCUACACAUAUCAAAAUUGCUUAUUGUUUACUCGUGUUUACAGUACUAGCAAGUAAGGGUGGACGAACUCAAUCCGACCUCAGUGCAAUCUAAUUCAAUCCAAUCCAAUUAAACUUAAAUGAGUUGAUUGAGUUAAUUUUUUUCAAUCCAAUUAAUGAUUGAGUUAGAUUAGAUUCGUGUUAAUGGACCCAUGUAACCCAAUCCAAUCCAAUAAUAAUAAAAAUCAUACAAAAAUAAUGUCAAUUGUUAAUUGUUUAUCCCUAAAUGGUUAAAAAUAAUUUUGAACUCUUUUUAUGCUUUUAUAAAAGAGACUCUUUUUUAAUUUCUCUCUAUUAAACCUUACAUUAAUUGAAUUUUCUAAAAACAAAAUUCAUAAAUCAAACUUGAAUUUUCACUAAAAAUAAGCUGAUAGGUAUUUAAACAUAACAACAUAUUGUCUAUUGAUAGAUGUUGGGUGUAACAGACAAUAUUUAAUGUUAUAAUGGAGAAUUAUUAUUUUUUUACUAUUUUAAUUUAAUUUUAAAUAUCAAAUAACUUUUUUUUUUAACUUCCACAUUUGAAUUUUUAAAUUUAAUCAACCUGAUCAACCCAACCCAAUACAAUGAUUUAUGUUAAAUUAAGUGCCCAAAUUUUUAGGUUUCAUAAUGCUUUUAUGGAGACUUGAAUCUUUGUUAUCAUACAUGGUGAAUACAAAGGUUCACCCACUAGGCCAAAGACUCGUCAUUGGUGAGGUGCAUCUAGCUUUAAAAGGAUAAAUUAAAUGGAGUGAGCUGCAUCUAAUUUUUCAAAGGAUAAAUUAAACCAUAAAAGGGUUGAAACUUUGUAACGCCAAUAAUAUCAAAAUUUAUGAAAAUUUUUCAAAUUAGAUCACUUAUCGUGGAUAUGGGAAUUGCAAUACUUAUCCUUUUCCAAAGGAUAUGGUUAUCUCAUAACAAGCACUUCAAAAUUAAAGCUUUCGCUUUCCUCAUCAUUUCAGACUGUAAAAUCUUUCUUUCUUACGUUUUAUUUGAUAUUACAAAAUUAGAAUAGAGAUUGAGCGCAAGAUAGUACUUAUAUGUGUGUGUAUAUUACCUAAUUCAAUCUUCAACUAUUUAAGGGGAGUUUGAACACCAAGCCUCUUCUUUUCAAAAAAGAUAUUUUUACCAUCUCUACAUAUAUAGAUGCUAUUAAUGCUACCGAAAAAAAAAAGAAAUUUAGAAAAAAAUCGACUGUCAAUUCUAUUUUAUUUUUAAAAAAAAUUAAUUUUUUUUAUAUGAUGAACUUAGUCGUAAUUAUAUAUUAAGAUCUGUGUUUUUUUUUAAUAUUUUAGUAACACUCUCACUUUAUCAAAGUAAAAAUGUCCUCAUUAAAAGACAACUAUAUAUAAGCAACUGUUAAAUUACAUAUAAUGUAACUUAUAGAAACACAAAAAAAGUUACUCAAAACAAAAAAUAAUAACAUGUAAAACAAAUAGUAGGUCGUGAGUAACUACUUUUAGGUUUGUUGCAAGUUACAUAUGAUGUAACUUAACAACACCUCUAUAUAUAUAUAUGUGUGUAUGUAUAUAUAUAAUUAUCCUCUAAUAAAGACAUUUUUGAUUUAAUAAAAUAAGAAUAUUAUGAAAAUACAAAAAGAAUAUUGAUUUUUAUGUUAAAAUUUAUAUUUUUUAAUCUAUUAGUGUGUUAAAAGUAAGAUGCCAUUAUUAGUGUAUUAAAAGUAAGAUGCCGUCACUAUAAAAUGAUAUUAUAUACAUUAUUUUUAUCUGGUCAAACAUUAUUACUCUUCCAUAACUUUUGACAGUAAGAUUCUUCAACUUUCUUUAUAGGAGCAAUAAAAUUAUUAGGCUAAUGUUAAGUUACAUACAUGUAACUUAGGGGAUCCAAAUUAUUAUUAUUAUUAUAUUUACACGUGUCGCAAUCCGUAUAUAGUUACGUUCAUUUUGUUCCAUGUGAUGUGUUAGUGGCGGUGAUCUUUUUUUUUUUAACAGAGGCAGUGAUCUUAAAUGCACAGGUACAGGGAGAAGUAGUUAACGCUGUUUAAUACAAACAGUGAUCAUUAGUCUUCUUUCUUGUGCGUGUGUGUGCGCGUGCGCGCAUAUAUAUUUUGUGUGAAUUCAAAUACCAAAAUACAUCCAUAGGUACAAAUAUUUCCGAAACAGUGUCACCCAAUUAGUUCCACAGAUGAAACCACUUAUUCACAUUUUGCAACUUUAAAAGCAGAAACCAAUUAAAUUUAAACCCCAUAGGAUAUAUAUUUUGCAGACGACGUUGGAAGGUUGUUGAAAAUAUAUACUAAUGGCGACCAAGUUGUUGGCAUUAGCAUGCAUAAGAAACGAGAGUUAUGGGAACUUGUCGCCGAGGCCACACUACCCGUCGAUGCCAAAGUACCCGAAAGGAGUGUCGGCUGAAGAGACAGCGAACGUGGAGAGCUCGAUGUCAAAGGCGAAGGCUGUGUAUGCUGUGAUGGGUAUGACUUGCUCCGCCUGCGCUGGAUCCGUCGAGAAAGCUAUCAAACGACUUCCCGGAAUACACGACGCCGUCGUCGAUGUCUUGAAUAAUAGAGCUCUUGUCUUGUUCUACCCGUCCUUUGUUAACGUAAGUUCUUACGUUACACUUUUUUAUUUUUUAUUAAUAUAUAGCGUAGCAAGCGUUUAAUAUUUAAUAUAUAAUUUCAAUUUUCUUUUGUUUAUUUGUUAUAUAAUUAAUUAUACACUAUAUACAUACAGUAUAAUGAUUCUACGUCUUGUUAAACCUGGAUAGAUAUCACAAUUCUUUUAUUUGAUUACUAAGUUGGUAGUUGUUUUUUUUUUUUUUUUUCAUUUCUGGUUUGUAUUCUUCUGCUUGUGCCAUGAACAAAUGUUUUAAACAACUUGUUUGGUGUAAUUUGUUUCUGUAAUACGUAUUUUUCUUUUAAUGAAAAAGAUAGACUCAUUGUAAAUUCUAUUUCUUAGGAAUUUUGCAGAACUGGUCCUGAAUUCCUUUGCUUUUGAGUCACUGGUUAGCGAGUUAGCAUCAACUUGCUUUUUCUUCCUUUUUGUCCAAUUUGGUGCUUUAAUUUGCGUUCGCAGUUGGUUGAGGACAAUUGAGAGAUACGAUGUGUCUCCCAUCAUCAUUAUCAACAAUAUCACCAUUUGUGCGCUUGAUCAUGACGUACAUAUAAUAUAUUUUAUACAAUAGUCAAUGGGUGGAUUUGGGCUUGUAGAUAUUAAAUCAUCAUUGACUAUGGGCCUCGGGCUAUAUAUGCUUGUUACCCGCUGAAUAUUGAACUUUUAAUUUGCCAUUGACAUCAAUAACGUGUGGUUAGUUACAUCUUUACGUUCUCUUCACAGGAGGAGACAAUUCGUGAGACCAUUGAGGAUGUUGGAUUUCAAGCAACAUUAAUCCAAGAUGAAACAUCUGAUAAAUCAACUCAACUAUGUCGUAUUGGAAUCAAUGGAAUGACAUGCACUACUUGCUCCACAACUGUUGAGAAAGCUUUGCAAGCAAUUCCUGGUGUCCAAAAUGUCCGAGUGGCCUUAGCUACUGAAGCAGCAGAAGUACACUAUGAUCCGAAAAUUCUAAACUACAAUCAGAUUUUGGCAGCUAUUGAGGAUACAGGAUUUGAAGCCACACUAAUCAGCACAGGAGAAGAUAUGAGUAAAAUUCAUCUUCAGGUUGAUGGCAUAAGGACUGAUCAUUCCAUGAGAAUGAUUGAAAAUUCACUCCAGGCACUUCCUGGAGUUCACGGCAUUGGAGUGGAUUCUGGAGUGCAUAAGAUUGCCAUUUCUUACAAGCCAGAUAUGACAGGACCCAGAAACUUCAUGAAAGUCAUAGAAUCAACUGGUUCCGGCCGUUUUAAGGCCAGGAUCUUUCCUGAAGGUGGAGGGGGAAGAGAAAAUCUGAAACAGGAAGAAAUUAAGCAAUAUUAUAGAUCCUUCCUUUGGAGUUUGGUUUUUACAAUUCCUGUUUUUUUAACCUCCAUGGUCUUCAUGUAUAUCCCAGGAAUCAAGCAUGGCCUGGAUACCAAAAUAGUCAAUAUGCUUACCAUUGGAGAGAUUAUAAGGUGGGUGCUAUCAACUCCUGUGCAGUUCAUUAUAGGCAGAAGAUUCUACACCGGUUCUUACAAAGCAUUGCGCCAUGGUUCUGCGAAUAUGGAUGUUUUGAUUGCCCUGGGAACUAAUACAGCUUACUUCUAUUCAGUGUACUCUGUAUUAAGAGCUGCUACUGCUCCACACUUUGAAGGUACAGACUUUUUUGAGACUAGUUCAAUGCUUAUAUCCUUUAUUCUGCUUGGAAAAUAUCUAGAGGUUCUUGCCAAGGGAAAGACAUCUGAGGCAAUUGCCAAGCUCAUGGACUUAGCACCUGAAACAGCAACUUUGCUGACUUUAGACGAGGAUGGCAAUGUGAUAAGCGAAGAAGAAAUAGAUAGUAGGUUGAUUCAGAGGAAUGAUGUAAUUAAAAUUAUUCCUGGUGCAAAAGUAGCUUCAGAUGGUUACGUGUUGUGGGGACAGAGCCAUGUAAAUGAGAGUAUGAUAACUGGAGAGGCAAGGCCAGUGGCUAAGAGGAAGGGUGAUACAGUAAUUGGUGGCACUGUGAAUGAAAAUGGGGUGCUACAUAUUAAGGCAACAAGGGUUGGAUCAGAGAGUGCUCUUGCUCAAAUUGUUCGACUAGUUGAAUCGGCUCAGAUGGCUAAGGCUCCAGUUCAGAAGUUCGCUGAUCGUAUUUCAAAAUACUUUGUGCCUCUGGUAAGUAUACAAUAAGAUUCACCAUGUUCUGCAUUUGUUCUAUAGAUACUUAAGAGUCUUAAGAAAAUGUAUGGUUUCUUGCUAAUAAAACAGUUUCUUUUAGGUCAUCAUCCUAUCAUUUUCGACAUGGCUUGCUUGGUUUUUAGCUGGAAAGUUCCAUGGCUACCCGGAAUCCUGGAUACCAUCUUCGAUGGAUAGCUUUCAGCUUGCACUACAGUUUGGAAUCUCUGUUAUGGUCAUAGCAUGUCCAUGUGCGCUAGGCCUAGCGACUCCAACUGCUGUAAUGGUUGGAACUGGAGUUGGGGCAUCUCAAGGAGUACUGAUUAAAGGGGGUCAGGCCUUGGAAAGUGCACAUAAGGUUAGCAUAUGCUGUCAUGUUGCUCUUUGCUACUUGCUACGCAUACAAUGACUGGAAUCGGUUUCUUAUGGUUGUGUACGACAAUCUUGUAGGUGAAUUGCAUUGUGUUUGACAAAACUGGAACUCUGACAGUUGGAAAGCCGGUAGUUGUUAACACAAAGCUUUUCAAAAAUAUGGUACUGAGAGACUUCUAUGAACUUAUUGCUGCAACUGAGGUAUGCUUUAUUUUCCGUGGAAAUCUUACCCUUUAAGAGAGUCCGUCAAGGUUGUAGUUGCUUAUAAUAUAACUAAUGAUAAUAUUUGUUGCUGUCUAUCUACUAGGCUAACAGUGAGCACCCAUUGGGGAAGGCUAUUGUUGAAUAUGCCAAGAAGUUCAGAGAAGAUGAAGACAAUCCUCUCUGGCCAGAAGCACAUGAUUUUAUCUCCAUCACUGGCCAUGGAGUUAAAGCCACGGUGCAUAACAAGGAAAUAAUGGUGGGAAACAAGAGCUUGAUGUUGGAUAAUAACAUUGACAUACCACCUGAUGCUGAAGAAAUGCUAGCAGAAACAGAGGGAAUGGCUCAAACCGGGAUCUUAGUAUCUAUUGAUGGAGAAUUGACUGGAGUUUUAGCCAUAUCCGAUCCACUGAAACCGGGUGCUCAUGAAGUCAUUUCCAUUCUAAAGUCGAUGCAAGUGAGAAGCAUCGUGGUGACAGGCGACAACUGGGGAACUGCCAAAUCCAUUGCCAAUGAAGUUGGAAUUGAAGAUGUCAUAGCUGAAGCCAAACCUGAACAGAAAGCAGAGAAAGUGAAGGAAUUACAGGUACAAUGCAAAUUAUCUGCAUCUCAUAUAUGCAUGUUUCGCACUUGUACGUAUCGAUUACAUACAAGAUUCAUUAUCUUGUUGACAGGCUUCAGGAUAUACCGUGGCAAUGGUGGGAGAUGGCAUCAAUGACUCGCCAGCACUUGUAGCAGCAGAUGUUGGAAUGGCAAUUGGUGCAGGCACGGACAUUGCAAUAGAGGCAGCUGAUAUUGUCCUGAUGAAGAGUAAUUUGGAGGAUGUGAUAACUGCUAUAGACUUGUCGAGGAAAACUUUUUCGCGUAUUCGUCUGAACUACAUUUGGGCUCUGGGUUAUAACCUUUUAGGCAUACCAAUUGCUGCGGGAGCCCUUUUCCCGACUACCGGAUUCCGUUUACCUCCAUGGAUUGCUGGAGCUGCAAUGGCAGCCUCUUCAGUUAGUGUUGUUUGCUGCUCUCUGUUGCUGAAAUAUUACAAGAGGCCUAAGAAGCUGAAUAAUCUUGAGAUUCGUGGAAUUAUGAUAGAGUGAUUUAUGAUGAUGGUUCUUGAUUUAGUGCCCUGUAAUGUACAUAUAUGUUAAGGUGAGAAACACCCUUGAAAUAAGUUAGCCAUCUUGUUUGUAAUGACGAUAUUGGCUAGAGUGGCAGUUUAUGUACAGUCAUUCGGUUUGUUUACGUAGGACUGUUUAAUGCUAAAUGAAUUUGUGGUUGGUAUACUCAAGUUGUAGUUUCUUUCGUAAUCGUCUCUUUUGAUCCUCUCUUUUGAUUCUCUCUUUCUCAUUGCAAGACUGUUGGCUGCUUCAAUUUCCGAAGACGAAACAGGCUUGAUAUGGUAGAUUUCAAUUUUAAGAAGGAUAAGGAUUAAAUAUAUAAAGUAAGUUGUGAGGCAAAUUCAGUUGCAAUUAAAAGUUACAAUAGUAAUAAAUUCUCUUCAUUUUAAUGCUUUUAUUCCCCCACACCUUAAAAAAAAAAAAUCAUGGGGAAUAUUGCCAAAAAAAAGAGUAAUUAAUUAAUUUUAAAAUUAUGAAACCAAUUUAAUUUUUAAAUUAUAAUAAUAAAUGUUUAUUAAAUAUUUUAAUAUUAUAAUUUUAAAUUACAGCUGUCUAACUUUUAACAUCAAACCGGAUCUACAGCAAAACAUACUAGGAAUAUAACAUUAUUGUGGAAAAAAAAGAAGAUGAGAGAGAGAAUGAGAGAUAGUAAACAAGGUUGAACUAUCAUGACGCAUCAAAAUUGGCGAUCCUGAUGGACUUUCAAAUCAACACUCUGCCGUCGAAUCAUCAUGAGCUUUCAGUCCUUCUGCCCUGACGCCAAAUUCUAAUUUACAAAGGAAAGAAAAGGGUAUUCGUAAAACAAUGAUACGAUGGCCCCCACUACCCAGCCCCAUGAGAUUAAAAAUAAUGGCUUUUUUUUUUUUUUUUUUAAACCGACUAAGACAACAGACUAUAACUCAUAUUAUAUAAUAUGAUUAUUAAUAUUUAUAAUUAAAUUAACACUCAUAUUUACAUGAGAUUAUUAUUAAGACUAAUUUUUAUAUAUUUUUAUAAAACAGUGCCCAUAUUUUUUUAUUCUCUCUAAUAUUUGAGGAACGUCUAUUCCACUCACAAUAAUAAGAAAAAAGAUCGACUUUCAAUCAAUUAUAAGUUAUAAUUGGUGAGGGCAGCAGCCCAGCCACUCGGCUAAAGGCCAAGUGACCCAAUGACUUUCUUGUUAAGUGCCCAACAAAUUUUCAUUUCCGAAUUUAUCCCAUCAUCAAUUUAUGAGUGGAGCUUGCAACGCCCUCAAGAAAUUUUAUUUUUUUGUUUUUAUAUUAUUUUUUAUAAAAUAAAAAAGAAAUAUAAGAUUACAAUAAAAUUUUAAUUUAAUUUUACUAUUAUUUAGAAUGUAUUUAAUUAAGUUAUAAAAAUAUUUUUCUUAAUAUAAUAAUAAUAAUUAUUAAGUAAUUUACUUCUUUAUUAUUUCAAAAUUAUUUUGAUUUUAUCUGUAAAUUAAUUAUAUCAUAUAUGAGGAUUAAAAAAUAUUUAAGGGUUCAUAAUUUCUAAAUAUAUCUCAGUUCAAUUAAAUUCAUAUUUUUCCUUUUAUGUAAAGUGUCGUUUUUAUUUUAAAUAGAUGCUAUUUAGAUAAAGUCGUAAACAUUGGUAGAAAAGUGAUAAAAUCAAUGCCAACCUAAUCUUUAUCGGUAAGGUGAGUUUUUUAUUUCUAAGGGUUGGCAUCACAAAGCAAAAUGGCAUGGUCGCAUUUGGAGGAUGAUGGGUAGGGAUGGCAAAAAUUCCCACGGAGAUGGAGGCUUUAAGAGAUUUUUCUUAUUCGGAGAGGGUAUAUGAACAAUUUUAUAUUUAAUUUCUUAUUUAGAGAAAUGACGAAAAUGAUUUAAUAUCCAAUAUCUUAUUUAUGGAGGAAAUUUAUAUUUCUGCUAAAAUUUUAUAAAUACAUUUAAAAUUUAAUUUGUAACGGUGUAAAUAACAACAAUAAUAAUAACAUCUAAUAUAAACACUUAAAGAUUGUCGAAGAUAACUUUGCUGAUACUUUAUACAGUAUGACUUUUAUGGAUUUUUUUAACAUUGAAAUUCUACUUUUGUUUAAUUUCAUAGACUGUAUUGUAAUUAUGAUGAUAUGUAGUUUGAUGGAAAUAAUUUUAAUUUCUUUAAUUUAUUUUUAUGCUUUUUUGUUGAUAGUACAAUUUUAUACUUUUACAAAAUAAUAUAGUUAAAUUAAGUUUAAAAAAUAAAAUUUCAGUUAUUCGGAGAUUGAGUAUUCUCGAUAAUCCCCUCUUGUCCCCUCAAAUAAUUUUAAAGAGGACCGAAAGGUAAGAGGAUAUGAGUAGAGUAUUAUGAAUGGGUACGAGGAAGUGGAUCCCUAGUGAUGUGUAUUAUAUAGUGGAAAAGAUAAGAGAAUAAUUAAGAUAUUAUAUAUGUAAAAUUCAAUCAUAAACUUAAAGGAGGUUGUUUAUAUUUUUUAAAAUGGAGCCAUCAUCACUCAUGCAUAUUAUAAAUAUAUAUUGUCUCGGGUUUGGUGGAGAUAAUAUAAUAAAGUUCAGAAGCAAUAUGCUAGCUUUUUAUAUACAAUAUCUGUCUGACCAUACCAAUAAAGUGUUGGCUCCACUGGCAAUGGAGUCCCCUUAAAUGGCUUGAUUGAGUUUGCUCCCCAGUUUGAGUCGCAGGGAAGUCGCCUUUGUUGAGAGAAUCUGUGCCUCCCGGUUCGAGCGGGGACUUCUAGUCUGAGUUGUGGUACGGGCUUAAAGGUGUCUCCCACAGUUGGGGCCCUCCCCAAGAUACCUCGUGAUUAAUAUAAAAAAAAAAAAUAUCUGUCUGACCAUGGGGAUUCUUUCAGCAUAAAUAGCGAGCGUUUAGUAAACUUAGUAUAUUAAAAUUUAAAGUUUCAGUCUGUACCUUAAUUACAUUUAUACUUAAAAGAAGAGUAUGGUGGUGGAUCGAUCGAACCUAGAGAAGUUUAUUAAUUCCACAAAAAUUAAAGUACAAUCAGACUCUCCACGUACUGUUUGACGAGAUUGAGUUAUUUAUUUUAGUUUAAGAAUUUGCUCGUGUUAGUGUGUUACAGCGCUGCAUGUCACAAAACAUACAGUCUCUCCCAAUAUUAAUAAACUUUUUAUAAUUUUAAAAGCAGACAGCACACGAUACGUCUUUGUUAUAUAUGCAAGGAGAAGAAAAGAAAAGAAAGAAAUUAAGCAAGUUACAAGUGAUAUAUCAUGUAAUAUUAAUAGGUGCGGUAAUGGCGACCAGCAAGUUGCUGGCAUUGGCUUGUAUACGAAACGAGAGUAGUAGUUAUAGGGACUUGUUGACAUCGACACCCAAGUUCCCGAAAGUUGUGUCGGGUCCGGAAAAGUCCUGCAGCAGAGCACUAUUAUUAUCGGUGAAGGGAAUGACUUGCUCGGCCUGUGCAGUGUCCAUCGAGAAAGCCAUCAAACGACUUCCUGGAAUACACGACGCCGUCGUUGAUGUCUUGAAUAACAGGGCUCAAGUCUUGUUCUACCCCUUUUUCGUUAACGUAAGUAAUUUAUAAUUAUAGUUAACAUAACUAAUGUUACUUUUAAUGAUCUUUUUUUUUUUUUUUGCAUUUGCAUCUCUCUUUUACAUGUAGCUUGUUUUGUUAGCUCUGCUGACAGCUGCUCCCGAAUUUCUUAAUCUUUGCUUCCGAAUUACUCAUAUUAGUUGAAUACAUAUAUAGGACAAACUUCUUAUUUUUUCAGGGCAUUUAGUUCCUCUCCAACUCCAUCCCAUCACUGUCGUAUUUGCUGGCUUUGAGAUUUGCGUUUUUGCUUCAUUUUGUCCAUUUUUUGCUUCUAAUUUAGGAUUGCAGUUUGUGAGGUCAUUUGGCAGCUGCUAUACGUUUGCUAUCGCAUUCAUCAUAUAAUUACAUAUCGUAUAAUAAUAAUUCUAAACCAUACUCAGUACUCACUUCAAGAGUGGUUCGUUCUUUAUUAUUAUUAUUAUUUUUACUCCUUAUCCGAGAUAAUAAGUGCAGCCAUGGUUCGAAUGAAUUUGGCUGGGACUGCAUAAGAUUGAAGUAUGGACCUCAGGUUUAUUCUUGAUAUGAGCCCUAAACCUCGGACGCUUUAGCCCUUGUUUGACUGAAAAAACUCACUCAUUUUUACAAGCCAUACUGACUGAUACUAACGUAAUUUACUCCACAAACAUACUUUUUCUAGCGAAACAAGAAAACGUUACCAUAUCAUAUUCAAUUAAUGUGUAAGGUUUUUUUUUUUUUAAUAUCGUCAAGGAGGAGACAAUUCUUGAGGCAAUUGAGGAUGUUGGAUUUAAAGCAACGCUCGUCCCUGGGGAAACAAUUGAGAAAUCUACUCAAGUAUGUCGAAUACGCAUUAAUAAACGAGCAUGCACUUCAUGCUCCUCGACUGUUGAAAAAACUUUUCAAGCAAUUCAGGGUGUACAGAAUGCCCAUGUCACCUUAGCUACUGAAGAAGCAGAAGUUCACUACGAUCCGAGAAUUCUGAGCUACAAUCAGCUUUUGAAAGCCAUUGAAGAUACUGGAUUUGAAGCUGUUAAGGAAGCUCAUUGAGCAUGUGUGUCAAUGAUGAGUCAGCAGUUAGUUCAAUGAUGAGUCAGCAGUUAGUUGGGUAAAGAAGCCAGCUCAGCAAAUCUGUUAAUCAUGUUUUACGUUCUGUUCUUAAGUUGUUAGUGAAGCUUUUAAUUCUGUUGAGAUAUGAGUUAGUAUAAAUAAGUUGUUAUUGCAUUUUGUAAAUAAUUACGUGAGAUUCAAUAAAAGAAGAAUAGUUUCUAAGGAAAAAUAUUGAUCAUUAUUUUCUUAGCUUCCAAACAACUUUUACAGUCACAAUUCAACUUUCAAACAUGGUAUCAGAGCCAGUAAGAGCAAGCUCUAGUGCUCAGCAAACAAAUCAACAAAGUCAAAUAAAUUUUUCUUUCAACACUCCAAUUAAACUAGAUCGAUCGAACUAUCUACUUUGGCGUUUUCAAGUUUUAGCUUCCAUAAGAGGCAAUCGAUUGGAAGGCUUCAUCAAUGGAACAAAACCAGCUCCUGAAGAACAGUUCACUCAAGUUGGAGCUGAUGGAUCUAUUCAGAAAAUUGAUAAUCCAGAAUAUCAGAAUUGGAGAUCACAGGAUCAAACAUUGCUUGGAUGGAUGCUAUCAUCAAUAAGUGAAGGUACUCUAAAUCUUGUCAUAAAUUGUGGUAGCUCGUUUGAUGUUUGGAGAACUUUAGAAAAGAAAUUUGGUGUGCAAUCUGAAGCUAGGGUUCUUCAACUUAGAUAUGAGUUAAACACUCUUAGGAAGGAAUCAAUGAGUAUUGAAGAUUACUGCAUCAGAAUGAAAACUGUAGCAGAUAAGCUUGCUAGUGCUGGAAGUCCUAUAACAGAGAAAGAUCUCAUGCUGACAAUUCUUAAUAGCUUAGGAGCAGGCUAUCGUGAUAUUGCUACCUUUAUAACUGGCUCAAAAAUGGACUAUGAUGAUGCUUAUGCAUUAUUAUUAACUCAUGAAACCAGACUUGAACAAGAGCAGAAUGAUAAAAGCAUGUUUAAUGCAAAUUAUGCUUACACAAAUGCCUAUUAUCCAAGGGCAUUCUAUGCUCAAUCUAGAAAUAAUUUUAGAAGAGGAGGAUAUGCUGGUGCUCAGUUUGGUAAUACUGGUAGAAAUCACACUGUUGGAAGAGGAAAUACUUUUCAGUCUCCAAGGAUGUUUAAUGGCAAUCACAGAGGUGGAUAUGGAAGAGGACACUCAUUUGGCCCAAAUAAUGUUAACUCUUUUCAUGCACCUAGGAAUCCAAUACAAUUUACUAGGACUGGAAUCACUAAUAUGAAUGGAUCUCAAGGAAUUCCAAGUAAUGCAGAAGAAUUGGUUUGCCAGAUUUGCUUUAAGCCUGGUCAUACUGCUGAUAUUUGUUGGCAUCGAUUUGUGGAGGAUUAUGUCCCUUCUUCAAGAGGUCUAGGCAGAGGAAAAGGACCAAGAUCAGCAUAUAUUGCUAACUUUGAUGGCUUUACAUAUCCAUACCAAGGUUAUGAUAACUAUGAUAAUCAUCCUGCAUCUGAGACAAGCUGCUAUUCUGGAAUUGAUAACUAUGCACCUGCAGAAGCUUAUGUGGCUAAUUUUGAAAGCUUUGCUGAUGAUGGCUGGUACUUGGAUAGUGGGGCAACUCAUCACUUGACCAACAACAUGGAGAACUUGCAUUUUAAGGAAGACUACAAAGGUACUGAUCAACUCAUUAUUGGAAAUGGUCAAGGUCUUUCAAUUUCUCAUAUUGGUCAUGCAUUUUUAUCAUUUAGAGCUUCAAAACAUCCUUACACACAUGCCUCCACUAUAGCACUUAAAGAUAUGUUACUUGUUCCUACAAUCACUAAGAAUUUACUAAGCAUCUCCAAACUUACAUCUGAUAAUUCACUCUCUGUUGAAUUUUUUGGAAAUGUCUGUUAUGUUAAGGACAUGAAGGGACAAGUUCUUCUGCAGGGCCUUGCUGAGAAAGGUCUUUACAAGCUGUUGAUGAAAUCUUCUUCCAUGUCAUCUUCAGCUUAUCAUACAUCACCUGCCUUUCAUCUUUCUCAACUUCAGUCACAUAAACCAAUAUCCAUGCUGUCAUGCUCAAAUGUGUCUUCUAUUUCUCAUCAUUGUAAUUUCUUUGAUAAGACUUGUUUCAGCUCAAUUUCAAAUAAGUGUAACCAGAAACAUGAUGAACUUACCUUGUUACACAGAAAGUUUGGUCAUCCAAGCUCAACAGUAUUGAUGCAUUUGCUUAAGACUUGUAAACAAGUUAAAGUCUCUCAAAAAUCAAUUUUAUCUCCUGAGCAUUCUAUGUGUGAAGCCUGUCAAUUAGGAAAAGCUCACAAGCAACAUUUUUCUACAACCGAAACCAAAACAACUCAAGUAUUAGAACUGAUACAUACUGAUCUGUGGGGGCCUUCACCUACUACAUCUAGAAAUGGUUUCAAAUACUACAUAAGCUUUGUAGAUGAUUACAGUAGGUAUACCUGGAUUUACCCACUCAAACUCAAAUCAGAAGUUUUUGAAGUCUUCAAAUUAUUCAAAAUCCAAGUAGAGAAUCAGUUCAAUACCAAAGUCAAGAUGCUGCAAUCUGACUGGGGGGGAGAAUAUAGAGUUUUUACUAACUUCUUAAACCAGAAUGGGAUCAUUUUCAGACAUUCAUGCCCUUACACUCAUCAUCAAAAUGGUCUAGUAGAAAGAAAACAUAGACAUAUAAUUGAGUUAGCUUUGACUCUCUUAGCUCAAGCUCAUCUUCCUUUUAAAUUCUGGUGGGAAGCUGUUCAUACAGCAGUGUAUCACAUAAACAGAUUACCAACACCUGUAUUGAAACUCUUAUCUCCAUAUGAGAAGCUCUUUAAGCAUAAACCAGAUUACAGCCUCCUUAAAUGUUUCGGUUGUCUUUGUUAUCCAUACUUGAGAGAUUUUAACAAACAUAAAUUUGACUUUCAUACCAGCAAGUGCAUCUUUAUUGGUUAUAGCUCAUCUCAUAAGGGAUAUAAAUGUCUUACAAGCUCAGGCCAAGUUCAUAUCCUUAGACAUGUUGUUUUUGAUGAGAGUGUAUUUCCAUAUACAACAUUCUCUGUUCCUUCUUCAUCUGAAAAUGUUGCCAACUCAGAAACACCAGUGUCAAAUUUCUCUAAACAGCAAGUCUAUCAUCUUUCAACUCUACCCUUAUUCAACAACAGCUUUGAAGAUACUUUCUCAGCAGGUGUGCCAAGUGAUGAACAAACUCCUGUUUUGCCUGAGCAUACAGAUAAUUUGCAUCAACAAGAAUCAUCUAGUUAUUCUUUAUCAGAACCAUCAAUAUCACAAGUUAUCCCUCAAAUCCCUGAAUCUACUCAAACACAACCUGAACCACAAACAAGCAAUCAACAACACUCUGAAUAUAAUCCAAACAGAAUCCAGAUCUCACAACCUACACACAAAAUGAUUACCAGAUCAAAGUCUGGAAUAUUCAAGCCUAAGUUGUAUACAGCCACCUUGAUCAACAAAGAACCUGACACAAUUCAAGAAGCUCUGAAUGAUAAAAAUUGGUAUAAGGCCAUGAAAGAGGAAUAUGAAGCUUUGAUCAGGAAUGAGACUUGGUCUCUUGUACCACCUCCAGCUGAAAACAAAAUAGUUGGAAACAAAUGGGUGUUCAGGGUUAAACAAAAUAGUGAUGGCAGUAUAGCAAAGUACAAAGCUAGAUUGGUUGCUAAAGGUUUCCAACAAACUGAAGGGAUUGAUUAUUUCGAAACUUUCAGCCCUGUUAUAAAGGCUUCCACAGUGAGGGUUAUACUAAGCUUGGCUGCAAUGCAAAAUUGGAUGAUCAGACAGGUAGAUGUUAAUAAUGCGUUUCUGAAUGGUGACUUAACAGAAGAUGUCUACAUGGGUCAGCCUGAGGGUUUUGUUGAUGAGAAAAAAUCAGGUUAUGUGUGUAAAUUGAAGAAGGCUUUAUAUGGUUUGAAACAAGCUCCCAGAGCUUGGUUUGAUAAACUAAAAGGCUGUUUGGUUGCAAACUGGGGAUUUCAAAAUUCCAGAGCUGAUACCUCACUAUUCUUUAAAGGAAAACAAGAUUCAAUGAUAUUAGUCUUGAUCUAUGUUGAUGACAUACUGAUAACAGGGCCUAACAGUGAUGAACUUGAAAAGUUUAUCUCAAACUUCAGCAAAGUGUUUGCAUUGAAAGAUUUGGGAAGACUCUCAUAUUUUCUGGGUAUAGAAGUAUCUUAUGCUGAGAACAAUAUUUACUUAUCCCAAAGAAAAUAUGUUAGAGACUUGCUAAGCAAAGCUGAUAUGCUUCACUGCAAAGGGUGUGAUACACCAAUGGUUACAGGGACAAAACUUCAAAAGGAAGCUAAGGGAUCUUUGGGUCAGCAUGUUGAAGAUGCAACAAGUUAUAGAAGUUUAAUUGGAGGGCUGCAGUAUUUAGUUUUGACCAGGCCAGAGAUAGCUUUUGCAGUAAACAAGCUAAGCCAAUAUGUUUCUGCACCUACACUACAACACAUCCUAGCCUGUAAGAGAAUGCUUAGAUAUUUGAAAGAGACAGAAGACUAUGGAUUAAAGUUUUCAGCUGAUGGAGAAAUAAAGUUAACAGGUUUCACAGAUGCAGAUUGGGCAUGUGAUAUUGAUGAUAGGAAAUCAACAGGUGCAUACUGUAUUUACUUGGGAAAUAACUUGAUCUCUUGGUCAUCCAAGAAGCAAUCCAUAGUUACAAGGUCAAGUGCAGAGAGUGAGUACAGAGCUCUUGCUUCUGCAAGUGCAGAAAUUACAUGGUUACAGUCAUUGUUCAAGGAACUCAAGAUUGAAUGUAUUUCAGUGCCUACAAUCUGGUGUGACAAUAUAAGUGCAACUGAGCUGGCUAGAAAUCCUGUCUACCACUCGAGAACCAAACACAUUGAAUUGGACAUGCACUUUAUAAGAGACAAAGUGUUAGCAAGAGAGCUGGAAAUCAAUUACAUUCCCAGUGAAGAACAGAUUGCAGAUAUCCUGACCAAGCCUCUCACAUUCACUCAAUUCAAUUAUCUCAGGAGCAAACUUAAUGUGCAGCCAUGCCCCUUAAGUUUGAGGGGGGCUGUUAAGGAAGCUCAUUGAGCAUGUGUGUCAAUGAUGAGUCAGCAGUUAGUUCAAUGAUGAGUCAGCAGUUAGUUGGGUAAAGAAGCCAGCUCAGCAAAUCUGUUAAUCAUGUUUUACGUUCUGUUCUUAAGUUGUUAGUGAAGCUUUUAAUUCUGUUGAGAUAUGAGUUAGUAUAAAUAAGUUGUUAUUGCAUUUUGUAAAUAAUUACGUGAGAUUCAAUAAAAGAAGAAUAGUUUCUAAGGAAAAAUAUUGAUCAUUAUUUUCUUAGCUUCCAAACAACUUUUACAGUCACAAUUCAACUUUCAAACAGAAGCCAUACCAAUCAGCACAGGAGAAGACAUCGUAAGCAAGAUCCAUCUUCACCUUGAUGGCCUAUAUACUGAUCAUUCAGUGACAAUGAUUGAAAGUUCUCUUCAAGCGCUCCCCGGCGUUCUUGACAUUGACUUGGAUCCUAGCAUACAUAAAAUUUCCAUUUCUUACAAGCCAGCCAUGACAGGACCCAGAAACUUUAUAAAAAUGAUAGAAUCAACUGCUUCUGGGCAUUUUAAGGCCAGAAUAUUUCCUGAAGGUGAAGGAAGAGAAGCACAGAAACAGGCAGAGAUUAAGAAAUACUACAGAUCAUUUCUAUGGAGUUUGGCUUUUACAAUUCCUGUUUUUUUAACCUCCAUGGUCUUCAUGUAUAUCCCAGGAAUCAAGAAUGUACUGGAUACCAAAAUAGUUAAUAUGCUUACCAUUGGAGAGAUUAUAAGGUGGGUGCUAUCAACUCCUGUGCAGUUCAUUGUAGGCAGAAGAUUCUACACCGGUUCUUACAAAGCUUUGCGCAUUGGUUCUCCUAAUAUGGAUGUUUUGAUUGCCCUGGGAACUAAUGCCGCUUACUUUUAUUCGGUUUACUCAGUGUUGAGAGCAGCUCUUUCUCCAUAUUUUAUAGGUAAAGAUUUUUUCGAGACUAGUUCAAUGCUUAUAUCCUUUAUUCUGCUUGGAAAAUACCUAGAAGUUCUAGCCAAGGGAAAGACAUCUGAGGCUAUUGCCAAGCUUUUGGACUUGGCACCCGAAACAGCGACACUGCUGACUAUGGAUGAGGAAGGCAAUGUGAUAAGCGAAGAAGAAAUUGAUAGUCGAUUGAUACAAAGGAAUGAUGUAAUUAAAAUUAUUCCUGGUGCAAAAGUAGCUUCAGAUGGUUAUGUUUUUUGGGGAAAAAGCUAUGUGAAUGAGAGUAUGAUAACCGGAGAAGCGUGGCCAGUGGCCAAGAGGGAGGGUGAUACAGUGACCGGUGGCACUUUGAAUGAGAAUGGGGUGUUACAUAUUAAGGCAACAAGGGUUGGAUCAGAGAGUGCUCUUGCUCAAAUUGUUCGACUUGUCGAAUCAGCUCAGAUGGCUAAGGCUCCAGUUCAAAAGUUCGCUGAUCGCACUUCCAAAUACUUUGUGCCUCUGGUAAUUUUACAACAUAAUUGUUCUAGGUUCUGCAUUUUUCUAUGAAUACUUUGAGGAAUCUAAAUUAAAUUUCUAGAUUUUUAUUAAUAAAUAUCUCUGUUCUUUCUGAGGUCAUCAUCUUGUCAUUUUCAACAUGGCUUGCGUGGUAUUUGGCUGGAAAUUUCCAUGGCUACCCAGAAUCCUGGAUACCAUCUUCAAUGGAUAGCUUUGAGCUUGCACUACAGUUUGGAAUCUCUGUCAUGGUCAUAGCGUGUCCAUGUGCUCUGGGCCUAGCAACUCCGACUGCUGUAAUGGUUGGUACUGGAGUUGGUGCAUCUCAGGGAGUACUGAUUAAAGGGGGACAAGCACUUGAAAGUACCCAUAAGGUUAGCAAUGCCCUUAAUGUUGCUGUUUAAUACUAGUUUAUUCUUAUUUAUUUAUUUUUUCACAAAGACUUGAAUUGAUAACCAACUGCUCUGUUAAAAAUAAUGUAGGUGAAUUGCAUUGUGUUUGACAAAACAGGAACUAUGACAAUUGGAAAGCCGGUCGUUGUUAGUACAAAACUUUUGAAAAAUAUGGUACUAAGAGACUUCUAUGAACUUGUUGCGGCAACUGAGGUAUUUUUUUUUUCGGUUUUUUUUGUCUGUUGGAGAUAUUGUUCUUUUAAGAGAGCUGGUCAUAGUCAUUAUUGCUUAUAAUGAAUUGACUAUUGAUACCAUUUGUUGCAAUUCAUCUUCUAGGCUAACAGUGAGCAUCCAUUAGCCAAGGCUAUCAUUGAAUAUGCUAAUAAGUUUAGAGAAGAUGAAGAGAAUCCUAUGUGGCCAGAAGCUCAAGAUUUUGUCUCCAUUACUGGCCAUGGAGUGAAAGCCAUCGUGCGAAACAAGGAGAUAAUGGUCGGAAAUAAGAGCUUGAUGUUGGAUAAUAACAUUGACAUACCACCUGAUACUGAAGAAAUGCUAACCGAAACUGAAUUAAUGGCUCAAACUGAGAUCCUAGUAUCUGUAGACGGGGAAUUGACUGGAGUUUUAUCCAUAUCUGAUCCAUUGAAACCAGGUGCUCAUGAGGUCAUUUCCAUUCUAAAGUCAAUGCAAAUAAGGAGCAUCUUGGUGACAGGUGACAAUUGGGGAACUGCCAAAUCUAUUGCCAGCGAAGUUGGAAUUGAAACUGUUAUAGCUGAAGCCAAACCUGAACAGAAAGCGGAGAAAGUCGAGGAGUUACAGGUAUAAUGCAAAUUACUCCGUUUCAUUUAUGUAUGUUUUAUGUUUGUUCCAUUACAUUGAAGAAUCAUUAUCCUGUUGACAGGCUUCAGGAUAUACCGUGGCAAUGGUGGGAGAUGGCAUCAAUGACUCACCAGCACUUGUAGCAGCAGAUGUCGGAAUGGCAAUUGGUGCUGGCACAGACAUUGCCAUAGAGGCGGCUGAUAUUGUCCUAAUGAAGAGUAACUUGGAGGACGUGAUUACUGCCAUUGACUUGUCGAGGAAAACCUUUUCGCGUAUUCGCAUCAACUACAUUUGGGCUUUGGGUUAUAACCUUCUUGGCAUACCAAUUGCUGCAGGAGCCAUUUUCCCGACUACUAGAUUCCGCUUACCACCAUGGAUCGCUGGAGCUGCAAUGGCAACCUCUUCAGUUAGUGUGGUUUGCAGCUCUCUAUUGUUGAAGAAUUACAAGAAGCCUAAAAGGCUGAACAACCCUGAGAUCCAUGAGAUUUUGACCGAGUGAUGAUGGCUCUGGAUUUAGUGUUCUGUACAGAUACGUCCAGGAGAGAAUUUAUCCUAGAAUAAGUAAUCUUGAGAAUAAAGACGAUAUUGGCUACACUGAUUGUUGAUGUGCAUACAAUCGGUUCUUUGAUGAUCUGCAAAUGUCGGAUUGUUUUAGUGCUAUGAAGAUCCAUUUAGGAGUUAUGUAUUCGUCAAAAUAAACAAAGGAAGGGAUUUCGUUCAAUUAAUUUUGUGGUAUACAUAUAUAUACAUACAUACAUUAACCUGUUCAUCCAUCGCUCUAUUAUUAGUGUCAUAGUGCGGCUUUCCGGUCAUCAGAAUCUGCAAUGUCUACCAUUGAGAUUUCAUAACCCAAAACCCAAAAGAACACAAUAAAUAUGGUACGUGUGCCAGGCUCAGUCUUAUUCUUCAAUCCAGUUUAGGCAGCCUCUACAACACUAGCUUUAAACCAAGCUUCUUCAAAGAAAAAAAAGGGUUUGCAAAUCAUGCAACAUUCUUCGCUGAAGAAUUUCUCACAUUUUUUAAUGCAAUGUUGUGUUAGAGCUAGAUGAAGAUCCGCUGCUAGCUCCCAAUGAUUGCUGCUUUUGCAGAUUCUCUUUGACUUUGAAGAGGACUUCGUGCACCUCAUCAAAGUGUGGUCUCGUUGCAUUUUUUGUGCUCUCAAUCCACUGUUGCACUUUCUUGUGUGGGCCCAUUAAUCCAAUUCGAUCUUCCUCAUCCAAAAGCUAAAUCCAAAAAAAUACAUUCCAUUGCAAGAUCUCAUAUAACCCAUACCAUAUGUUAAAGACUUCAAGUAAAUAGAAUUUUGAAAAUGUUUGUCUUUAAGCUGUGUUCAUAACAUAAUAAGCAUUCAGUCAAUCGAUACCUCCAGCUGCAUUGUUUCACACACUAGGCUGAGAUCUGCUAUGGAUGGUUGAUUGCUACCCACCAAGCACCGUCCACUCCCCUUGAGCCAAAAAGACUCGAUCUUUGAGAGAGAGGAGGACAAAAUUUUCUUACCUUUGGCAGCUGCUUCUGGAUUCAGUGGAAGGCCAACCACAGGUGCUAGUUUAUGAUUAAAAACAUAUUUGACUGAACAGAAAAACACAUAAUAAAAAUCAUUAGAAAAUGGAAAACUUGAAAAAGUUCACUCUUCAGGACAUCAUUGGCCAUUAAUGAAGACUAUGAUAGCGGCAUCCACUGUUGAAUCAAUCCCUAUCAAGUAUCUGAAAUGCUCUUUGCAUUUCAUGCUUAUCAUAUAUCUACUGCCUAUUUGAUCCAUGAACAUAUUUUCUUGUAUUAAGAGCUUCCAUGCAGGGCACCAUCUUGAUGUCAUAGUUGUAAAUGUUUGAUGAACUUGAAAUUUGGCAAGUUUAAAAAGUGUAAGAAAGACAAAAUCCAAUGGUGGGUUUUUAAAAAAUGCUUAUUUUAUAAAAAAUUAUCAAAGGAUGUAGUUCAUAUAAAAGAAAACAUCAAUGUAAGAAGAAAUAUAUUUUUUGCAUGAUGGUUGCAAGGUACCUGUACCCAAACGUAAAUUAGAAUGAUGCCAAUCCAAGACUGAAUGAAUCUUAGCUCUCUUCAAAAGAUCAUUGGGAUACCUUAAAACAUGAAACAGUUGUUGGAAAUAGGUGGUGGAACAUAUAAAAUGGAACUGAAGAUGGAAUACAAUAGAUAAUUUUGAUAUGGUUAGUAUUUUUCACAAUGAGAACAAAAAACGUAAAGGUAACAAUGUAAGUUCAUGAAGUAUGCAUCAAGUUAAAAGAUAUAUAUUUAGUGUGGUUAUGCAUCAAGUUAACAGCAAAACAGGUACAUGGGAUGCUGUUGGUAUUGCCCAUCGCCAUCAUCUCUACCUUAAAGUUAAGCAUCCAUGCAAGAAGUCAUGUCUUAAUCUAACAUUGAAAUUAUACCAGUAAAGUGGUCAGUAAAAGUGUUGUUUAUUCUUUGCCUGGACAAAUUUCUAAUCCCUUACCAUGACCAAGUCCACAUCAUACCUCGUGUUUAAGGAGCUCAAGCAAGGAAUGAAACUGAGAUAUUUAGUUGUUUACCUCAAACUGGUGAGCAAGUACUUACAAAUGAUCUGCCACUCCAGGAAAUGCGCAGGAGAGAUAAGUGAGAAUGGCAUGACUGCAAAGAAAUAAAUAGAUACAUCAGUCAGUAUAACAUAAAAUUUUGGUUAUGACCUAUUCCACGAUAAAAAAGGGACACACAAGAGUCCUUUGAACAGACUAAAGUAUUAACAAGACUUCUGAAAGACACAUCAAAAAAAAAAAAAAGCAUCUCAAAUUGCACAACAUCAUCUCUCACUCUCUCUUUUUCUCUUUUUUUUUUUUUUUUUUUGGGUUGGCUUCUGGUGAAGAAAUGCAUAACAUCAGCUCUAAUUUCUUAGAAUUCAUCAAAAGUAAGACCUUAACCUAGAGAUUUGAAACGCUAUUAAGUAUAUUACCUCACAAACAGCUUCAAUCUGCCAUCAACAAUGGCUGGUACUUUCGCCAUAGGAUUUAUGUCUGUCAAAACAGCAACAAAACAAAGGUUACAAACUGAAUUUUUUUUCUUUUCCAAUGUGCUAUUUCUGUAUCCGUGAAAAAAACAGCACUGGCAAUUCAGUUUUUAUCACCCAAAAGUUAAAGUAAUCCGAAACCCCCAUCACUUCCGAAGGCCUAUAAACUUUAGACCCUUGAUUUUAGUCAAUAAACUGAGCAAUUCCAAAAUCUUAUAUCAGUCACCAGUGUUCCUUCACUAGUUGAGUUGGUAUAUAUCAUGUUCUCAAUUCAACAGCUAAACACACAAUGCAGUAACCGUCAGUAUGCCCACAAUUCUCAUAUUUUUCUAAUACGAUUGUCUCCUUCAGUACAAAUUUAACAUGGGUUUCAAUUUUCAUCACCCAAAAAAAAAUAAAAAUUAAUAAUAAUAUUUCAAAUUAACCCAUUAAAAUAUUCAACAAAUAAUCAUGAUCUUGAUCUGUAUCAGAAUUUAAAUUGAUAUUUGAUACGACAAGGCUGGUCAAAUGAAUGAUCAUUAAAAGACCAGACCAGAAAGUUUUACCUUUGAACUCGGGAGAGUGUUGCUCACGGUUGGCUAACUUGACUUCAAUCUCUUCAAAAUCUAUUCCAUUGACCCUGAAUAUAAAUAAGUGAGAUGAUAGUAGCAUAUCUUAAAAGAACAGUAAAAAAGAACUUAGAAGUUUAUCAAAUGGCAGUGAAUAUAGGACUACUUGCAGAAGAUAAUAACAGCCCGAGAUGGCUGUGACAGUCGAUCCGCGUAUACUUUCGACUUCAUUUUGCUUUCUUUCGCUCGCUGACACUGACUGCUGGCAUUGUUAUGAAAUUGUGUUCUGUUGGUUUCAAUCGUCGACUCAUGCUUAUCGGGGCAAACCGGGAUGAUUAUUUUAUAAUUAUCAUAUUAUUUCUUCAACAGCGGAGCCACUGACACAGAGACGCGUGCAGUUACAAUUUCACUGUCUGCGCUAGUACAAAUAUUUUGUAUGAUUUUCUUCCUUCCAUUAUACAAACAUCGUCGUGCCAUGUCGUUGGAUUGGAUUGGAUUUGAUUUGGAACGAUUAAUUGGACGUCCCUUGCAAAGCGACAACAUUUGGACAUGUUGCCUUUGCCCCGUCCGUCUUCUAGACUCUAAUUUAACUGCAGUAGCCCUGUCCGCAAUAUUAAGGUGACCGCGAGGAGGCUUCGCAGCUCACUUGUGGGUCCACACCAUAUGACUGUAAAUCCGUCGGUCGCAUUGCUUCUCUCAGUGAAAAGAUAAAUAAAAAUGGUGACCACUCUUAAGUCUCUUAUCUCAUAUCUCCGGAAUCCGAAUCCUCUCAUAGCCCAUAGGAAAGAUGUAAGUCGAUAAUUCAAACAAAAAAAUAAAUUCAUUUUGAAAAUGCGACCGUCACCAAACUUUCCCAUGAACGACAACGAGUUAUCGUUAAGAGGUGGAAGUCUGAACUGAUGACCAUGCUGCAAUGUAAAUAUGUAAUGUCAAAUUUAUUUCUAGAUAUAUUUAUCAACUUCAGAAACCAAUAUAUAACUAAUAAUCGAAGGCCGCUUGUGAGUUGUGAUUUGUAUUAGCGAAUUGUUACUAGUAAUUCCCUUUUGGUUUAGGUAGGAUCCCAUAUUAUUCUUAUUAUUAUUAUUAUUGCAUUCCCUUUUAACAAUUAGUUGGUACGAGAAUCCUCGUGUAAUCUGAACUUUUUAAGAGGGCACCAUUAUAUUUAAACAUAUCUGUGCCAGCUUCAAGUAUCAUCAUUAUUCAAUCUCUACAACUACAACGCUAUAGCCUUAAGCCAAGCUUCUUCGAAGAAAAGAAAUGUUCUGCAAAUAUUUUCUCAGAUUUUUGAAUGCAGGCUAGUUUUAUGGCUAGUCCCAGUUCCGCUGCUAGCUCCGGUUCCCAAUAAUUGCUGCUUUUGCAGAUUCUCUUUGACUUUGAAGAGGACUUUAUGCACUUCAUCAAAGUGCGGCCUCGUUGCUCUUCUCGUGCUCUCAAUCCACUCUUGCACUUUCUUGUGUGGGCCCAGCAAUCGAGUUCGGUCUUGCUCAUCCAAAAGCUAAAUCCAAAAAAUACAUUUUAUUACAAGAUCUCAUUCGGUAUAGACAGGACCCAAACCAUAUUAAGAGAAGAAGUAAACAGAAUUCUAAACAUAUUUAUAGUCUUUUUUGAGCUGUGAUGAUAACAUAGUAAGCAUUCAGUCAAUCCAUACCUCCAGCUCCAUUAUUUCACACACUAGGCUGAUAUCUGCUAUCGAUGGUUGAUUGCUACCCACCAAGAACCGUCCACUCCCCUUGAGCCAAAAGGACUCUAUUUUUGAGAGAGAUGAGGACAAAAUUUUCUCAGCUUCAGCAGCUGCUUCUGGAUUCAGCGGAAGGCCAAAUGCAGGUGCUAGUUUUUUGUUUAAAACAAAUUUGGCUGAACAGACAAAGAUCAUGUUGUGAAACAUCACGAAAUGAAAACUUGAAAAAGGUCAUUGAUAUAACUGCAACAUAUGCACAAACAAAAUGGCAUGUUCAGUCCUAAUAGCAAUGACUAAAGCUGAAGGAGACAAGGAUUCAUAUCUGAUGGCUCAAAGAUAAAAUCUGAAGGGUGCUACCCAAAAAUCCACUCUGCAUUGGGUGACUGUGUCAUUUAAUCAAUCCAACUAUAAUGGCAGCAGUUGUUGAAUCAAAUGCAUAUCAAGUAAUGCAAAGCAAAUUUCAUGCUCAUCAGAUAUCUCUACCUAUAUGAUCCAUGAACAUAUUUUUCUUUUACACUAAAUCUUCCAUUUUGGGCACCAUCUUGAUGUCUUAGUUCGAAAUCUUUGAUGAUCUUGAAUCCGCAAGUGUAAAUAGUGUGUGAAAGACAAAAUCCCAUAGUAAGUUUUCCGAAAUGCUUAUUUUAUAAAAAAUUAUUAAAAGGGUAUAAUUCAUAUAAACUAAAACACUAAUCUAAGUUGAAAUAUAUAUAUUUGCAAGUUGGUUGCAAAGUACCUGCACCAAAGCGUAAAUUAGAGUGAUGCCAAUCCAACACUGAGUGAAUCCUGGCUCUCUUCGAAAGGUCAUUGGGAUACCUUAAAAUAUGAAGCAGUUGUUAGAACUAGGAAGCAGAACAUGUAAAUUGGAACCAUGUAGCAGAUCAUUUUGAUAACAUUAAAUACUUUUGAAAUGAAAAUGCGGAACAUAUAGGCAACAUUGAAACCUAUGAGUUAAGUUAAAAGAAACAUGUUUAGUUUGGUCAUGCAUCAUGUUAAUAGAUACAUAAAAACAGAAAAACUGAUAGCAAAUAUGGCUCUCAAUUGAUGUUUUCUAAUUGUCUUCAUCUCUGCCCUAUAGUGAAGCAUCCAUGUACCAAGCCAUUCCCUGGUCUAACAUUGAAAAUAUAUCAGUAAAAUGGCCAGAGAAAUCUUUUUUGCUUUAGAUUUUUCAGAUACUAUGCAAGGACCAACUCCAUAUUCAUACCCCUUGUUUAUGGAGCUAAUGUAAAAUGGAAUACAGGAGAAAUAUAACUAAAACUGAGAAGUAAUUACUUACCAAUGAUCUGCUAUUCCAGGAAAUGCACAAGCAAGAUAGAUAAGAAUUGCAUGACUGCAAAGAAAUAUAUAACUACAUUAGCCAAGAAAUCAUAAAACUUUGAUUACAACAUAUUUGAUCUUUAAAGAAAGUGGUGGCAAAGAAAGGAGGGCGUGGGGUGUGUGGUGGGGGAGGGAGAGGAAGUGGGGUUGCUGACCAGAGAGCCCUUUUAAACAGGCCAAAGUAUAAACCAGAUCUUACAGAAGCAAAAAAUAUAUUACCAAGCACUUCAAAUUGCAAGACAUCAGCUAUAACUGCUUAUAGGAAGAACUUAACCUAGAGAUUCAAAACUCCAUUAAACAUAUUACCUCUCAAACAGCUUCAAUCUCCCAUCAACAAUAGCAGGCACUUUUGCCAUAGGGUUUAUUUCUGUCAAAAUAGCGUAAAAAAUUAUAAACUGAACUUCUCUCUUUGUAUCCAACUAAAAGCAGACCAGCAUAGUUCAAUUUUUAUUCCCCAAAAUUUUCAGUAAUCCAAAAAUCCAUGAUUCUAAUCACUUAAACUAAACUUGACCUAGUGAUUUUCAAGCAAAUUUAUUUGGCUGGCCACCUAAGUUCGAAUCUUGGGGAGAUGGGGGUUAAAAAAUUAAUUCAAGUUUUAUCCACCCUCUACCUUUAAAAAGAAGAUAUGAAAAAAAAUGAUUCCAAACUUUUAGAUUUAUGACUCAUCGAAGCUUUCAUGCUUUCAGUUCAACAGCUAAUAACAUGACACAGUAGCCGUUAAUCUACCCACAAUUAAAAAUUUAUCAUUUUAUAUAAUACGAUCAUUUUGUCUAGUUUAAAUUCAACAUGCAUUCAGCUGACCUGACCAGCUCCAUUUUGUUAACAUCAAACGCAGAACUUCGAUUUAACACAUUAAAAAUAACAAGAUCCAUGGGUACGAGUAAUCUAUUGAUGGAUAAAAUUCAACGAAUACUCAUGAUCCAUAUCAGAAUCUAAAAUGAAAUAACAGGCACCUGCACAGCACGUCUCAAAAGGCUAUGAUUAUUCACAAAGCAGCAAAUUGUACCUUUGAAUUCAGGAGAGUAUUGUUCACGCUUUGCUAACCUAACUUCAAUCUCCUCGAAGUCUAAUCCAUUUACCCUGAAUAUAGGAGACGUGAUAUUAAGAUUUUCUCAAAAGAAAACUGAAAUUCGUACAGCGUAGAUGGAUAUGGGAUUACUUGCAAAAGAUGAUGACAGCGCGAGAUGGCUGUGACAUCCGAUCUGCAUAUACUUUCAGCUUCAUUUUCCUUUCUUUAGCCCACCCACUCUCAGUGCCUGCUUCUGCUUGCUGGUGAAUGGUGAGCGUUUGCGACACUCGGUUUCUUUCAAUCGUCAGCUCAGAACUUACCCAGUUAUACAAAAAUACACAGCUUUUUUUUUCCCUUCCUUAUUAUCUUUUUAUUAUUGAUUGUUGACAUGCCGUAUUUGAUUGGAUGGACUAAUUGGACUGUGGGCUGGUGGGCCUUCACGCCAAUAAUUCUGGAAUAGGCAUUUUGGAUGUAUUUAAAUUCCUCAUGAAAUCUGUCUUUAAAUGAAAUUAGUUAAAUAAUAGAGAUAAAUUAAUUAAAAAAAUUCAAUCUACUAUUAAAACAUUUUAUUAUUUUAACAAAAUAUUUAUACCCCAUCUACUAAUCUAUGCUUAUGUCUUAAUUUUUAAUUGAAAAAAGUAUUUUUUGAUAAAUUUAUAAAAUUUAUAGAGCGGGUGCGUAUUAGAUGUGGGAUUUACUACCCAUUUUUUAUGCUCGCAAGUCGCAUCGUCGCACAUGCCGCGCCCUUGCAAAGCCGCCCGUUUAUAUUUUGGUCAGCUUCAGUUCUUCCAGAAGCUCUGCCAGCAAUAUCAGAUGCCUCGAAAUCGAUCCACGAGGAAUCAUCACAGUUCAGAACAGGGUCCCCGUGGCGUGACUGGAACCCUUCAUAAGGGGAUGGACUUCUAACACCCUUUACUGUCUUUUUAAAAUCCUUUUUACAAUUAUACUCUUUUUGGUAUGAAAAAUACUCUUCCUCUCUAAUUUAACUAUUUUUUUAUUAUAAUCAUUAAUUUUUAACAAUUUUCUCACUUAAAAAAUUCUUUUACAGUCGAUGGCCAGAAAAAAAAUCACCUUUCACACAAAUAAUAUUAUAGGUGAUAAAAAAAUUUGUUAUCUCUAUUCUUCUCUUCAGACUUUUUUUUUGUCUAUAAAACUAAAAAUAAAAAAUAAACACUAGCUUAUCAAGAAUGAAUCCAAUUAACCUAAAAAAUAAAGAAAAAGAGAAAUGAGUUAUUUAAAAUUUUUGUAAACUAAUUGUACAAAUGAGAGUCAUAAAUUGAAAAAAAAAUUUAUAAAAAAAAGAUUGACGAUAAAUUUGAAAUGUUUGUAGGAAAAGAAAACACGCGUGUGCAAGUAAAAGAGAAGGAAGAGAAAGAAAAUAUAAAUGAAUUUAUCAUAUUUAUGUUGUCUUUUAAUGUAAUUUCAUUUCAAUGAAGGAGGAAUCUUAUUAAUAUAUUGAAGUUUGAAGGGGUGUUAAAAGCACCACUCCGUCAUAAAUCCCUCAUUUGUUUCGGUCAAUAAUUUAUCUGAAAAAUGGUGACCACUCUCGUCUCUUCUUUCUAAAAUCUGAAUCCUCAUAGCGAUGAUAAUAAUUUAUGACAAAAGGAAACAAACAAAACUAUAUAUAUUAGUUUCAGAACCAAACUUUCCCAUGAAUGACGAUGGAGACUUGGCCCCCGCUUCCAAUUGCAUGUUUUAGUUUUCAUUGAGGGGUGAAGACCAUGCUGCAACGUAUUCCGUAACGUUUAAAUUUGUCAUAAUAUGUAUUUGUUAUGUUAAAAUGUUUAUGUCUUUUUGGUAGAUUAAUCAAAGAAUCACACUAAUAAACAAAGUGUUACUUAGGAAUUGGUGGGUGGUAAAACACUUUUGCUUAUGAAAAACUCCAUCAUACAUUUUAAUAUAGAUGUAGGAUAAAAAUUUUAAGUCACUUAAAUUUCAAAUCAGAAAUGCUACUUUAAGAAAAGAAAUCUUAAAAAAAAAAUGGUAGUAAUGCUGUGUUGAUUUUAAAACCUACCUAGCAUUAACUAAUCGAAACUGAAAGCUGAUGAGGAGUCUCCAUCUUUUGUAGAUCAUGGGCAUGGCAUCGUUGGACCAAUUUCUGAGGAAUGACAAAUAAAUAAUGAAUUCUAUGACAUGUCACAUGUCCCACCGAAUUGCCCAUGUAAGUUAAUUAUAGUUACAAAAUUAAUUAGGUUGCCAUUUGAAGAAGCAAAGUGAAUCCAAAAGCUGGCGGAAAAUGGAAGAAUGAGAAGAAGAAAAUAUAUAUACGUUAAGAAAAAAGGCUCAAUCACAUCCUAUGUUUACUCUCUCAUAAGAAAGCGAAAGCCAAAGUGAAUCAGAGCUGAAAACGACGUGAUUCUUUCUGGGUAUCGUUAUCCAGACAAGAGAAGAGUAGUAGUAGAAUUAGAAACACUGACUGAAGGUACUCUUGUUAUAGAACCAAAAAAAAAAAAAACAAACAAACAAACGAAACCGUUUUCUGAAAGAAAUCUCUCUGUAUCUUCUAUUAUCUCGCUUGUCGCGAGCUAAGCUACGCUGUUAUUAUAAGUGUUAAAUUUGUGACAGGUGAUUUUCUCUUCUCGUUCCUCCUGCCCAGUCUUAGCUUACCAGCCAUUACUCAUUCAUUAGCCUCAAUAUUACUCAUUAUGCCAUCUCUCUCCCCCUCUUCGUUAAAUGCUCUACUUAAUUUGUUUGCAGUUGCAGGUUCGGAAAGCUCUAUUCAAUGGUCUCCUAGAAGGACUGCAAUCCGAACAUUGUUUGCUCGAGAAAGGUAAAAGUCUUGGUGCUUUUUUCCUGCUUGCUGCUUUCAUUCUGUGUUGUUCAUUUUAUGGAAGUUUUUGCUUUUCAAAUUUGUUAAAGCAGCUGCAUUUCAGUCUACUGUGGCCAGACCUCUGCUGAGAAAAAAUCAACGAGGAUUAGCGUUUUCGUUACUAUUUAUUUUUUCUCGGCAGCCAAACAGAUUCUGAUAAGAUUAAUGCGGUGGAUUUUUCUUUUUUCGUAUUUCUUGUUAAAAUUUUUAAUAUAACUCAUCCCAAUGAAGACAAGUUUUGGAUCUUCGUGUUCGUAGCUCGGUAGUAGCGUAAAUUCUGUAGAAUCAUCUGCGUCUGUGAGAAGCUCACGUGCCUGAAGCGUGCUUUAAGGAUCUUUCGCUUAAAGCGUGGAGCUUCCAUAUGCUUAAUUAUUAUAAUUUAGUACUUCGUAUUUGUUGUUUUAGAUCUUUUUACGAGGGACUCUGGCACAUGGUUUUGAUAAAAAAGUGUCCACUCCUUUGCCUUCUCAAAUGAUUAAUUUAAAAAAAAAAAAAAUUCCUGCAAUAAAAAAAGAUGAGGAAAAGAUAAGUGAAGAUCUUCUGUAGUGUUAUAAUAUUAUUUUUGAUAGGUGAUUGUUUAAAAACUUCAUUAUCUGUCUUUUAUGUGAUCCAUGGUAUGAGCUAACAUAUCAGAUUGCUCUGGCAUCUUUGAUUUAUCUUCUUCAAUAGUGUAACUAUAUUUUAAGUCUUAGAACUGUGAGUAUUUGGAGCAUCAAUUCACUAAUACCGUUAUGUUUGA
rnacentral:lncRNA from 1 species